GCUCAUCAACGUGAAAGAACUAGCAGCAGCGUUGUUUGCGUUCGACAUCUACAAUUAGAAAAGGACAAAGAUAGAUUAGAAUAAGAAUCCCUAAUUAUCACCCAAUAAGAAAAUUAGGGCUAGGAUCCAACAAUAACAUUUACAUACUAGAAAAGGGAUGCCGUAAUCUAACAUGCAAAUAAAUUGAAGGUAAGUGAAUGACGAUUCACUAAUUCUCCAUCACAAAACUUAAACUAUUAGUCCUAAGUGUUUUUGAGAAUUCCUAGGUUCGGAUGAGAUUCAUUGAAACUAUUCAAUGGCAUGUUUAAAUCUCGAUAUGCCCCUCUUGUUUGUGACUGGGAUGCCGAGGAUCACAAAGCGGGUGUGAAUUACCAUGCAAAUUCACAUGGUGCCUUCAUUGUAACGAUCACCUAUUCGAUGUGCCGGUAAACCACACACGCUCCAUCGAACUAUGAUAAACAAUGAAUCACCCUUUGCCACCUUCGCUUAGAACCAAUUAGUGUGCCGGUAAACCACACACGCUCCACUAACAUCUUAGCAAGGUGCAAAGUGUAAUUUCAUGGGAUUGCAUCAAUUCACUUUUCCUAAAGUAACUAAGAUUGGGAAAUUUUAAAAUAUGUGUAGUUACUUUGUAUUUCUUAUUAUACUUUUAAUGAGAGGAUGAGGUUGCCCUAUCCUACCCGUUCGGCUAACGACCCUCCACCAAUCAAGCAAGCGGUGGGUGUGAGUGUACACCCAUUAAGCGCCAUUUUAUAGGCCGCAACCUUAUACCCACCUUAUAGAUCGGCUUCGUGAAUGAGGCCUACUAACGGUAAGACUAGCAUUUAGUUAUACAUAUAUAUAUUAUUCUAGUAAUAUCAUAUUAGUAUAGGGUUGUAUUUUAAAACUUUUAAAAUCUAGGGUUUGAAAUUUAAGUUGUCUAAAUUAAAACUUUUAAUCACAAAUAUAAAUUUCAAAACUUGAGGGCAAGUUUUAAACAUUUAAAACAUGGAGGAUCAAAUAACAAAUAAUUCCAAUUAACAAUUAAUAUCCUAAUUAUCUAUAUUUGAUUUUAUUCAAGAUUUCUUUGAAAGAUAAUUACCAAAAUAAUUAAAAUAAUUAAUUAAUUAUCAUAUAAGGAAAUUAAAUAUUUUAUUAGUUGAUAAAUACCUUUAACUAGAUCAAGAUAAUAGUCAUAUAUAUCAAAAAAUCGGAUUUAGAUUGAUCUAUUAUGAUUAAGGUAAGUUUCCAUAAGAUAAUUAUGAAAAAAUCCCGAAUCUGGCCAUUCCUGACGCCUGGACUCGCCGAGUGCACAAGGGGACUCGCCGAGUCAGGCCUACUCGCCGAGUCCACCUUGGAACUCGCCGAGUCAGUGACUCAGAAACCUAAAAAUCGAAUUUUGCAGGUUUGUUUCAGUUAAUCAAGCAACAAUUUAAAGAAAACCAAGCUAGGCUCUGAUACCACUGAUGGGUUUUAGCCAUAAGAACUUUCCUAUGUGCGCAUGCAAAACCCUAAUGCUUGGAUCUAGGCUUUCUAAUAAACAUGCUUUGAAUCCAAGACUUCUAAUGACUAAUUAGGUUAAAUAACAACAUUGAAACAGAUCUAGAAUCAUACCUUUGAGUUCCUUGUUGAUCUUGAGGUCUUGGAGCUUCUAGAGUCACAAAUGUCACUCCUCUAAUGGCUUACAAACACCAAUAGCAAGGAAGAUGAUUUAGGAGAGAGGAGAGGGGAGGAAAUCGGCCAGGGUUCUCUUACUUUAGGAGAGGUGCCGAUUUCCUUAUGCCAUGGGGUCUAUUUAUACUUGUAGACUCCUUAAGGGUUACAACCUAAACCCUAAUUGGAUAAUCUUCUCUUAAGUCUAUCCAUAUCCUUUCCAUAGAUAAGCCUUGGACGAUUUUGAAGCUAUCCUAGCUUCUAGAAUCCGUCCCUAGCAUAUCCAUAAGGAUUUACAGUCUAAAGCUUAACUAUCAAACAAUUGACAGUUUAUACCCCUUUAUUUAAUUAAUCUCUUUAAGUCACCAAAUUAAUUCUAAUUAAUUCUAUGACUUAUAUUAAUCAAAUAACAAAUAUAUUAUUCAUCAUAUUAUUCUCAUAAUAUAUUAAUAAUAUUUACUCUCUCGUAAUAAAUCAUCCUAUCAAGUUGCUAUGGUGAAGGCAACCCAAAAGGACCAUGCACAACCGGGUCAAAUACUUGCCUAAUAUAGUUGCAGCCUUAGACACUAUUCCAACACACAUAUAUAUCAUAAAUGUCAACUACACCUUGAAAAAGUACACCCACUGCAGUGUUCAGCAACAAGUACAAUUUGACACAACUCAACACCUAUAAAUAGUACCCCCACCAGCACACGAGUGUGCAGCCAUACAUGUCUGUGCGGCCGCACACACGUGUGAGGCUGCACACAUACAAGUUCAAAUCACUACACUGCCAAACAUAUACUUCCACCCUAAUCAGAUCUAUACAAAAUUAAUGCCUAGCUCAAACCACAAUAUUAUGGACUUUCAGAAACACCCUUCAUUUCACUUAGCAGGACAAUCGUCGGAAGAAGUUUGGUAGUGAGAUGAUUCCAGAUAGUCAACGUCAAAAAAGGAUCAUGAGCAUGAAUGUAGUUGCUCAGUAUACCCAGGACAUCACCGGAACAGCUCUGAAAAACAGCACGUUCAACCUUCAACAAUUCAAUCUGUUUUUCUGCUUUUUCAAGCCGAACCUUCUGAGCCGCCAGUUCAUCUCUUAGUUUUCGAUCUUCGGUUAAACCAGCAAUGAGUUUCUCCAACCAAGAGUCUAUAGAGGAAAUAUGAGAUUUAUUCUCGGCUUGAAUAUCAUCUCAAACUGCUGCAAAUUUUGCUUGUUCACCUUGAAGCGAUUGUGUUAAAGAAUCAACCGAAGCAUUGAUCAUGGAAGCAUUGGAGUUGGCAUGACUCUAAAGCGACUCUAAGAAAAUUUUAGAUUCAUCAAUAAGCUCCUUGACAUCCUUAGUAGCUUGUUUACACUAAGAAGUGGAGUCAUCCAUAGCAGCUGAACACUUAUCCAUGGAUUGAGUGUAUAGAUCGAAGGCUGUAUCCAUGAAGGCUUUCAUGACAACAUCAACAGGCUUUUAAUAGCACUCAAGUAGCUUGUCAAGCUUCUCAUGAUCACUGACAAGUUGAUCCUUAUUAACCGGGGCAGCAUCAUCAUCUUCAGUCGGCAGCUGGUAAGGACUGUAGUAAGUAGAGUCAUACUCAAAAUCAUCUCCUCCAAGAAUUGGAUUAGAGUCAUUGAAAGCAGUAAGUGUAAUCGGUUUAGUGGUAACGGGAGGUUCAGUACCAAUAAAUGCCCCUGUAUCAGAUACGUUGACACUCACCGGUGGAUCGGUUAUGGUGGAGGUAAUAAUGGGUAUUGUAGUGAUGAUAGGAUGAGUGCUAACAGGUGGUGGUGGGAUUGGUGAAGAAAUUAAUUGUGUAGUAGAAAGCGGAGGUAUUGGAGCAACCAAUUCUGAAACAAUAGAUCGUGGUGGAGAUGAAGGAAUAGGAGCAACCGAAAUUGAAAUAGUGACUUUCGGUGGUGAAGCAGGUGGAGUAGGUACCUUGGUAUGGAGCUCUUCAGUUGGAGUUGGAGAUCUAGGAGGUGUGUCCCCUCUCGGUGAGUCCUCAACAGGAACGUCUUCAUCUUCAUCAGUAAAUUUAGACCUUCUUUCCAUCCUCUUAAUUUUCUUCGGAUGAGCCGAAGAUCCCCCUUUCUCUGAUUUUCGUUUCUUGGAUCCCUCCUUCUCACCUUUAUUUGAUUUUUCAACUUUUGAAAACGCACCCUCUACUGUAUCAAUAGGCAUUUCUUCCUUCUUCUUACCCCGUUUAGAAGGUUUAUCCAUGGCUUCCAAAGUUUCCUUCAUCUCUGGUGUUAAUUGGCGAGGACCAGUAGGGUCGAUCUUGUGAUAAGGUUCCAUGACUAUGCUGUUGAGUCGAACACAUCGAGACAUUGUCUCAGGGAUGGAGCCAACAUGAGUGAAUUUGGAUGCAUCGGCGAUAAUCACCUUCUUGGUGUGAAAAGUGGCUACAGAAGAUAACAAGACAUCCUUCAUCACCGGGAUGUUAAGAGAAGAGAUGGCUCUUUGCAUAACAAUCGUCCAGAAUCGCCCACACGAAACUUUGAAUGCUUGGUCGGGGAAUAUAGACUUUGCACCAGUUAAGACCAAAUCAAUGACCCAUAGUCUAGAUUGAAGCCAUUGUAAAGAAUGGUCAUGAAGCAUUUGUUGGAACCAUCUGACCCUGCUACUCUUUCACCCAAACCCUUAUGAAGUAGAGUUAAUAACCCAUUCCAUUGUGGUGGUAGACAAGACUUCAUGAACUUCGUAAAAGAGAUAAGAACUUCAAUAUAGCCCAUCUCAUAAAACAUGGAAAAGAGCUGAGAUGUUGUAAUGAAGUCAGGAGAGAUCACAGAGGCAUCGAUUGCAAGCCCUAGCAAUAAACAGAAUCGAACUUUUGAAAUCGAAUUCUUGCGAUUGAAGAUCUGAAAGUAAAUCCUAUCCUUGUUCUUUUCAUCUGAGGCACUAGAGUAAACCUCCGAUAACAGGGACAUCGAAACAUAUUCCACCUGAUAUAAUACCAAAACCAUAGGAGAAUACUUCGGACACUCAACCACCUGAAGCAUGUAGUAGCCAUACACACAGAGUUGGUUCAAUGAUCAAGUUCUGGUUGGGUUUGAUCACAAGUAGGGAAGAUGAAGCAGAUCGGUCAUGGUGAGAAGAUGAAUCCGCCAUUGUUGAAGAAAGAAGAUGAACAGUAGAGAAUUUCUUGUUAUAUUCGAGAGAUGGUGAAGAAGGUAAGAAAGGACAAUGGGUGUGAGAAACCCUUUAUAUACCAUUGCCAUGAGAGAGAAAGAAUCGUCUGUUAUGAUUACAUGAUCUUUGAACCGUCGUCUGAAAAAGCGAGAUUUAACAGGUUGGUUUCCCCAGAGAAACGUCAUCACACGUGUGGCUAGGAGCCGUUUCAAAUUUACGCGCCUAUUUCCAUCCUUAUCUAUUAAAUUUGUUCAAAUUCUCAUCCACACAAUGCCUCGUCAACUGAUUGUUCUGUUGGCACAACACAUAGGUCAAGCAAAAUGCACUUGAAAACGAUCAUUAGUAUUUGAGAAAACUUUUAAAAAAAAAUUGUGCAAGAGUGACAAAGAUAAAGAAAUAAAUCAAACGUAUAUAGGAUGUGAGUGAUGUCCUAAACUGACAUAAAGCAGUUGAUUCUGGGCACGAAUCUCUUCCUUCAAAGUCAAGAGAGACUUGAAGUGCUUGCAUGGUUCCCCGUGAAAUUACGAUCGAAUGUCUGUUAAUAAACAUCGAAAGGCUUUUUUUCAACUAUCGGCUCUAAAAUGUGGCUUAUCUCCAACCGAACCUCGAUACUUAAUAUAAGACUUAAGGUCAGGAGAAGUACUUGUCAGACCGAUGUGGUCUGUUAAACAAGUAGGUGAGAUAGGUGUAUAAUUGGUUAGGAAUGUAAAUCUCAAAAAUAAAACAAAACUGGACCUUUUAUGAAGAAACGUCUUAGGGUUAGACAAUUUCAUAAAGAUCUCGCAUAAAAAUGAAUAACAGAUUUCAACCGGUAACAAGUUAAAUCUUGAAUAUUAAAAUUCACUGUUAAUUCAUUAUUGGUACUGGAUGGUGGGUCUCACUUAGUACGUGGUAUACGCAGCUAAGAUCAUCAACACAGGUUUUGUCUAACCAUAAACCUCAGUCAUAAAAACCAAGAGUCUCAAGGGUUACGUUUGUGAACCGAAAGUAGAUGUAGAAUAUUGAUGAGGUGGUUCAAGAAUCAAAAGUACCUCUGCUGUUAAAGAUUGACAAAGCAGCAGACUCUCAACUAAUUUGAGAAGAGUAAGGUAGCUCGUGACGUGAGUGAAUUUGGCCUGAUUGGGUAGAAACGAUAGGUAUAGAUCGAAUCAUUAAGGCCUUACUCAGAGUCUUUGAGGCUUCGGUCUACAUGCAGCAGCAUACUUCUAGGGACACCUAACUAGUUGUAUAAUGAGAAAUUUCAUACCGUCCCUUGCUGUAAGAUCACGAACUUGUAUGUCUUACAGAUCUGAAAAAAAUUAAGAAAGCAAACGAAAUAAAAAAAAAAUUGGAAAAAAAAACUUAAUAAAACUUAGAAGAAAAAUAUUUUUGUGUUUUUGUUGAAAAUUAUAAUAAAAAAAAUUCAAAAAUAAUAGAAAAAAAUAAUAGUAAAAAAAACUUAAUUUAAAUAGAUAAGAAAAUAGUGAACAAAUAAUACAAAUUAUACUAAUCAUACAACAUAAACAAACCUUUAGAGAUUUAAAAUGAAAUAGACCGUGCAAUCAGCUAAUAUCAGUUCCUGAAAAGAAUGGAGCCGAAAUAGACCGAGCAAUCGGCUUAUAUCGGUUCCUAAAGUUACGGAGCCGAAAUAGACCGAGCGUUCGGUUCAUUUCGGUUCCUUAUUUUCAUGGAACCAAAAUAGACGGAACCACGUUCUAUUACAUUUAGCUAAUCUUUUAUGUAGACAAAAGAUGGUUCGAUAUGGACUCUGCUUCGAUCAUACCUAAGCCAUGUAGUAUUCUAUUAAAAGUUGCUUUAGGUAAUGCCUUGGUGAAAAUGUCAGCAAGUUGAUCUGAUGAUCGAACAAAGUGAACUUCCACAUUUCCAUCUUCAACAUGGUCUUUGAUGAAGUGCUAUCUCAGUGCAAUAUGUUUGGUCUUAGAGCGUUGCACUGGAUUAUGACAUAUCCUUAUCGCACUUUCAGAAUCACAGUAAAUCGGAAUCUUCUUCAUACUUAAACCAUAAUCUCUGAGCUGACUUUGUAUCCAUACCACUUGCAAUGUACAUGAUGUAGCUGCAAUGUAGUCAGCCUCGGCUGUUGAAAGCGACACACAUGUCUGCUUCUUUGACUGCCAGCUAACAAGCUUGCCAUCAAGGAAUUGGCAUCCUCCUGUUGUGCUCUUUUGGUCCAAUCCGCAUCCACUAAGAUCUGCAUCUGAAAAUGCUUGAAUAAAGAAACCUUAAUUUGCUGGGUACCAGAGACCGAGAGAUGAGGUUCGCUUUAGAUAGCGAAAGAUGUUCUUUAUGGCUAUCAUGUGAGGUUCUCUUGGAUUAGCUUGAAAUCUAGCACAAUAGCAGACCGAGAACAUUAUACUGGUCUACUAGCCGUUAAAUACAUGAGAGAACCUAUCAUCUGACGAUAGAGUGUCAUGUCUAGAGCCGGUUUAUCCAGGGAUGGCGUCAAUUUCGUGACAAACGCCAUAGGAACCUUCACUUUCGAAUCUCCCUUCAUUCCAAUUUUUGUUAGCAAGUUCUUGGUGUAACCCUCCAGAUUUAUGAAUAUUCCUUCUGGUCCCUGUCUAAUGUUCAAUACAAGAAAAAAGUUAAUCAGACCCAUUGUGCUCAUUUCAAAUUUUGUCUCCAUCAACUUCCUGAAUUCAGCUGUUAGGCUAGGAUUCGUGGAGCCGAAGACGAUGUCAUCAACAUAGAUUUGAACAAUCAUCAAGUGUUCGCCCUCUUUCUUACGAAAGAAGGUUGGGUCAACCGAACCUUGUUUAAACUUAGACAUUUUAAGGAAACGAGUCAAGGUUUCAUACCAUGCUCUCGGUGGUUGCUUUAGACCAUACACUGCUUUGUCUAGAACAUAGCAAUGAUCAGGAUACUUUUCAUUUACGAAACCAGGUGGCUGUUCUAUGUAUAAUGUCUCUUCCAGUUCUCCAUUUAAGAAGGCGCACUUCACAUCCAUUUGAAGGACUUCGAAGUUUUUGUGAGCAGCAUAUGCAAGGAGCAAACGUCUCUUCAUAGUCUAUCCCCUCUACUUGGCAAUAUGAAUUCAGUACUAGCCGAGCCUUGUUCCUGAUGACAUUUCCUUCUUUAUCCAUCUUGUUCCUGAAUACCCAUUUUAAUCCAACCACAAAAGCAUCGUUAGGAGUGGGAAUCAAUCUCCAAACACGAUUUCUUUCGAACUCAUUCAGUUCGCCUUGCAUUGCAUGUACCCAAUCAGCAUGAUCAAGUGUAGUGUUGACCGUCUUUGGUUCAAUUUUGGAGACAAAUGAAUUAAACAUGCAAAAUUCGACUUGAGAAAAUAAUGCAGUUUGCUUCGCUUUCAUUUGAGAUCGAGUAAGAACUCUUUUUGAUGAUUCACCAAUGAUCUGUGUUUUGGGGUGAUCCCUUGUCCAUUUAAUCAGGGGAGGAUAAUUUGGAUCAUAAGCUGCAUCCAAUUCUGCAUUGACCUCUUCUUCGAGUUCUGAUUCAACAUCUUCAUUAUUUGUAUUAUCAUUCUCCCCUCAAAUGGCGAAGUAUAUCCAACGUUAGGUUCAGGUAUUUCUCCCUCAGUUAGAGUGUGAUUCCCCCCCCCCUCGCUUAGAGAUGGAUUCUCCCCCUCGACUUGAGAUGGAUUUUCCCUUGCAGCUGGAUGCUCCCCCUCGACUUGAGCUUUAGGAUUUGGAGUCAGAUGCUCCCCCUCGACACGCACCUUUGUUGUGUUUAAAACAAAAGGUUGAUUCUCGGCUGCUUUAGGAGGAUCGGUUUCAGCAGCAUGUACAGCUUCAUCGACGAUUUUCUUCAGAUGAUCAACUUUGUUGUCUGCUGCAUUCUCCUCCGAAUUGAUGGCAUGUUCGGGUUCAUCGAAUAACCUUGUGUAUUCUUCAAAAAACUUGGAAAUUGGAGCCGAGACUAGACCAGUUUCAGGGAAGAUGUCUAGUGUAGUUUUGUCGGUUGACUGAAUUUUCUUAACAUAAUUGUCAUCAAAGGUAACAUAGUAGGUUUCUUUGAGAUGCUUGGAUCGUUUGUUUAGAACCCUAUAUGCCUUUGAGGUCAGAGAAUACCCUAGAAAUAUCCCUUCAUCUGCUUUGACAUCAAACUUGUUUCGGUUCUCCUUGGAGUUAAAAAUGAAACAUCUGGAACCGAACACAUGGAAAAAUUUUAUAUUAGGCUUUUGAUUGUUUAGGAUCUCAUAUGGGGUUAAGGUAAAUCUUUUGUUAAGAAGGGAUCGGUUCUGAGUGUAGGAAGCACAUGCGAUGGCAUCAGCCCACAAAUACACAGGAAGUGAAGCAAAAGAUAGAAUCGUGCGGGCAGCUUCACAUAGAGAUCGGUUUCGCCUUUCAACGAUUCCGUUCUGCUAUGGAGUGUAAGGAGCAUAGAAGUUGUGAGUUACUCCUCUUUCAGACAAGUAGUCUUCAAACUCCUUAUUUUUUAACUCAAUCCCAUUAUCGCUUCAAAUGUUCCUUACAUUCUUUCGCAGUUGCACCUCGACCUGCUUAAUAAAUACUUUCAACUUGGUAGUUGCUUCAGAUUUUUGUUUAAGAAAGAAAACCCAGGUGAAGCGAGAAAAAUCAUCUACAAUAACAAGUAAGAACUUACUACCACCAAUGCUUUCGAUAGCCGAAGGUCCACACAAGUCAACAUGCAGAAGCUCAAGAGGUUCAAUGAUCUUUGUAUUGAUGCGCGUGGGAUGACUCUUUCGGCUCUGCUUUCCCAUCUCACAUGCUGCACAAAGGUUCUCCUUAUCGAAUUUUAGAGGGGGGAGACCUCGAACAUGGUCACCUAGUACUAGUUUGUUGAUGUCAUUGAAGUUCAGAUGCUAGAGUCGUCUAUGCCAUAACCAGCUUUCAUCGGAUUUUUCUUUAGCUAGUAGACAUAUCAUAGGUUUGCCCUUGAGAGGGUUGAGAUUGAGAGGAUACAUCUCUCCCUUGCGUUGAGACUUCAAUAGAAAUUUCUUCGUGUUCUUCUCAAUGAUUUCUGAUCCCUCAUCAUCAAACGACACUUUCAGUCCAGUUCCAACCACUAGUUGCGAAACACGGAUGAGGUUGUGCUGUAAACCUUCCACGUACGUAACUUUUCUAAUUAAGAAUUCCCCAUUUGUUAUCAUACCAUAUCAUUUUAUUGUUCCAAAUGAGUUGUUUCCAUACUUCACACAUCCACCAUAUUUUAGGGACCGAAACUCCCUCAACUCUUCCUUCCUUCCUGUCAUGUGACGUGAGCAACAACUGUCAAUACACCAUUCUUCAUCGAACUGCUCGUCACUUAACACCUGCGAAUUUAAGUAGAUUUAGGAACCCAAAUUUUCUUAGGCCCUGGUAAGUUUUUCCUAGAAAAGGGAAUAACAGCAGCAAGAUCAACCAAAUAUGUUCGUUUAACUAAAGUGGUUUUGUCUUUGCGUUUGAUGGUGUACACCUUUAUUUUAUUUUUAUCUUGUUUAAAUUGAGGUAUAUUAGAUGGUGUUUUGUUAACAGGAAUUGUCAUAGUAUUCCUAGGUUCAGUAUCAUUUUUCUCAACGUCAAACUUUCUUUUUCCUUUAACAUCUUUCAAGAAUUGUGAACCGAGACUGGAGGUUCCGCUUUGAUCCUUGGGUUUUGAACCGAGACUGGAGGUCUGGCUCUGAUCCUUGGGUUUUGAACCGAGACUGGAGGUACGGCUCUGAUCCUUGGGUUUUGAACCAAGACUGGAGGUUCGGCUCUUUUAGUGAAAGGAAUUUUAGAGUGAAAGGAAUUUGGACCGAAACUAGGCUUUCGGUUCAGCUGACUGCCUGCCUUGUAUGAUUGAUUACUAGCUUGAGCACCCUUCUUGAUUUGGACAAAGUCAAAAUUUUGAGACUUCCAAAACUGUUUUCUUUCACGCAAGUUUUUCAUAUACCUUUGAUUUCUUUGGCGCUUUUGAUCAACCAGUUGUUUUUGAGAUUUAUGGAUAUUGAAGCUUGGUUUUGGCUUUGCAUUUUGAUUUGGAUUUUCCUUAAAAAUUAUGGUUGGAUGAGACUCCUUACUGGGUUUUUCUCGUAUCUCUUUCGUUCCACUUGUGCUUGGUUUGGCAAAACUUGAGGGUUUGUUAAUAGGUUCUGGUACGUAUCUACCUUUCACCCUCCAUGAAGUUUGCUCUGACAAGCUAACAGUUUCGUUUGCAUUAUCAAUAGGAGCUGACCAGAAGAAAUCAUCAUAACCUCCAGCGUCGUCUUGAUCUAUCAAAAUUUUUAGUUCUGCUGUUUGUCUUUCUGUUACUCCUUUAACAGCAUAGACUUGAUUUGGAACCGUUCGAACUUUUUGGUAGACCACUGCCUUUUCUUUGAGUUUCUUUGACUUAUUGUCUGACAAGCGAGCGUAUUCAACCAAGUUUUCGGAUAUAAGUGGCCUUUCGAUCUUGGUUUCGCUCUUUAGAAACUCUAAGCAAUCGAUUACGUCUUCCACAGAGAUCUCACUCAUCUCACUUUCAUCAUCGAACUCAGAUGUACUAUUAAUAUUCAUCUUAUGUUCGAUCAUCAAUUUGGCAUUUGAUGACUCAAAUGAUUCUAAGGUUUCAGAUUUAAUUUUUGACUUAUCGUUUUCAUCUAAGAGUUGUUUUAACAUACAUUUAUGUUCCUUAGAAUUAAUAAAAGUUUCAAUUUUGUCUAGACCUAUUUUAUAAGAAAUGGAAGUUUCUUCCGAGGAAAUGAUUGAUUCACAUUCAGCAAUGACCUCAUCCUCCUUGAACUCAAGAAAGGGCAAGAUCAUUUUAUGAAUCUUUUUCCCUAUUUCACAAUCUAAUUGUGUGAUAUUAGUAUAUAAACGUUUAGCAAUCAAGCAAAAACAUUACGUUGUUUCAAAAAUCUCAAAUUGUCUCUUUGCAAAUAAAUUAUUUCAUCCCUAUCUCUAACUAACUCCUGCUCCUUCAGCUCAAUCCAUAUUUGUCUCUCCUCACUCUUCGUUCACAACCUGCUAAUUUGGUCAGUUAGGUUAGAAUUUGUUAAGCGAUUUUGCAUGAGACUUUCGCUGAGAUUAUUGAAUUUGAAUUUUUAGUUCAUUUAAUUCCUUUUCAUAAUCAAUUGCAGGAAUUUUAAGAGAUUCGAGAAGGGAUUGUACCUUUUGGAUCAAACGAUCACAGUUGUUAAUCUUCUCACUAACAGGCUUGGCUACAAAGCAUUUGUCUUCAUGCAGAUUCGAUUCCUCAUGCUCACUCUCGGUUGGUACUCCAGCCGUCACCAUCAGGCAUCUUCUAGUCACUUUCUCAUCCUCCUUUCUCGCCACUAAAGCUUUACCGUGUGUCGAUCUUCUCACUUCUUCACCCUCUGAAUCUGUGGACCACACUUCAACUCCGCCAAAUUCGUCAUCGAUCACCUUUUCUUGAACAAUCAAGGCAUUCAUUGGACCAGCACUAGUUUUCUUCUUCUUUAUCUCUUCAAGCUUUCUCGGAUGAUAAGCUUCAUCAUCUUCACUCUCUCUUCUCUCGGGUAACUUUUUCAACAUGCAGUCCUUGGCAAAGUGAUUCUUGCCGUGAUAGUAAUUGCAAUCAUACCCUAAGUCACCCACCAGUUUGCUCUCUUUCUUUCAUCCUUCUUCUGAGAAGUAUUCUUCGACUCUUCCUUUACCUUUUCUGAAUUAUAGCUUCCCUACCAGUUUUGGUUCUUACUGACAGGGAAUUUCUUCCGAGAAAACUUCUUUGGAUUCGACACCAUCAUCGCAUACUCAUCACUCGUAAGAUCACACUCCGACAUGUCAUAUUCCUCUUCUUCUUCAAUCACAUUUUUGUUCUUCGAGACAAGAGCUAGUGAACCGACACCAGAGACCAACUUUGCUUCUUUUGACACUAUGCUUUCAUGAGACUUUAGAAUUCCCAUAUGUUUUGCUAGGGAAUAAGCCUUGAAUUGUUCAUACGCCUUCACAGUUGAGACAACUGCCAUCCACUCUGGUCUUCAACCGUUCAGGAAGGUGACUUUCUGUUCAGUAUACCAUGCUUUGUCAUCUUGCUGGACAAAUGAUUGUAGCGAUCAAACAUCUGAAGCAAGGUUUCUUUAGGCUUUUGUGCAAAUUCCCCAAACUAGGAGAGAAGCAGAGUUUGAAUGGAGUGCUCUAGAUCCUCAUUGGUUGAAUAUAGUUCUUUCAACCUGUCCCAUAUCUCCUUAGAUAUAGUGCAUGAACUCACUAAUCGGAAGGUGUUAGCUUGUAAAGAGAAUCUGGUUAUUCUUAAUGCCUUGACAUUACACAACAGUUUAUCCUUUUCGUCCUGAGGAAUCUUAUCCACGUCUACAAUCAGUUUGUUAUAUUCCUUUUGGGUUUUCACAGUUGUAUUCUUUCCAGAGUGAACAAAAGGACCCAACAUGAUUGCUUCCCAGAUGUGUAACAGCUCAAAUUUUCAAAUAAAUUUUUCAUUUAAAACAAAACAUCGUUAUUCGACAAAAGAGUUUAUUCCAAGUUGAUUGCAAAAGUAUAAAUAAUAAAUCUCCAAGAUCUUCAGCAAUGGCAAUGUGUACGUGUCAUGCCGGCGCCUUCCCACGGUCAUCACUAGUACCUGAAAAACGUAAACACAACUAGUAAGCAUAAAUGCUUAGUGAGUUCCCCAGUAUACGACUUACCCACAUACGCCUUCCGGCCCGGACCUUUCGGUCCACAUAACAUUGCCUUCCGGCCCGUAACAUAAUCGCCUUCCGGCCCGUAACAUAUCGCCUUCCGGCCCGUAUUAAAUUGCCUUCCGGCCCAUAGUAAUUUUGCCUUCCGGCCCAUAAUAGAAUAAAACAUAACACACGUAACAUAACGCACAUAACACAUAAGUCAUACAUCAUACCGUUCUUUCUAUCACAUAAAGUCUCGCCUUCCGGCCCGUAUAAGCAUACAUCACAUAUAAGCAUACAUCACAUAUAAAGCAUCUACCUCUCUAGACAUAGCAUAAAUAUAACACAUACGACCUUCCGGUCACACAGUCAAACCCUUCCGGGUGAAGUAUAGUGAGAAGACUCACCUCGUAGUAUGCAAGCUAUAAACCCUUUGAGCUACUCGCACUCGAUCCGCUAAUCCGCAGGUUCCCUAUAAUACCACAUACCUUUAUUAAUGAUCUUAUCAAACAAGACAAUUGACCCUACUAAGUUACAUACAGGUCAACGGUCAAUCUUGACCGGACUCGUCGAGUGCAAAGGGCAACUCGGCGAGUAUAGACACCCCGACUCCACUCGCCGAGUCUAAAGGACGACUCGACGAGUUCUAGUAGAUCUUCAAGCUACUCGCCGAGUCUGAAGAACAACUCGGCGAGUCCUAGUGAAUCUUCAAGCUACUCGCCGAGUCUGAAGAACAACUCGGCGAGUCCUAGCCAUGCAGUCAAUCCGCUGCCUCCUGUAUUUCGCAUGAUUUCGAAGUAUAAAGAUAUGGGGCUUCCUGGACUUUCACAUACACUAUUACAGGGGUUUUUAAACACUUGCAACAACACUAUAAUCUAACAAUUCCUCAAAUGGGUUUCCUAAACCCUAAAUUCGCAUACAACGUAAAAGCUACAGAUUAUGAUCCGAAGAUUACCUGGAAACGUGUUCCCUGUGUCCCCAACCUCCAGUACUCGACUCCUUGGACUUCCUUUGAUCACCACCUUGCCUCUCCUUGUCUAACAAUCUCUUCAAGCUUCCUCUAGCCCUCACUCUUGCUCCCGAUGCCCACAAACUCCCAAGGUAUCUUCAAUCGGCCAAAAAGACGCGACAUGACGGCCAUAAGAUCAUUAUAUACGAUUCAGAAUCGAAACGGCUAGGGUUCAGCCGAACAGCGUCGAAUCGCCGAGUCCCUAUUGGACUCGUCGAGUCCAGUCGCGUAUCUGCGACCAAGACCAUGGCCCUACUCGGCGAGUCAUGCACCAACUCGCCGAGUCCCCUCCUAAAUGUGCCCCAAAACUAAUUUAAAGGAAUACCUGAAAUUCCGGGCUGUUACAAGAUGAGAUACCCAUUAUCAUCAGAUCCAAUCACAUAAUCUUCAAAGUGAUGCACCCACACUUCAUAAUCCUGCGUGUAAAUAAUGGGUACUCUUGUAGAAGAUCUGAUGUUGUUGGAGAUGUUGAUGGGAUUAGAUUCUACGUCGUCUUGAGACAUGAUGAGCCUUCCUUGAAACUAUUAGAGUCUGACCUGUAAACUUGAGAAUAGGGUUUUAUCCAAAACACUAGUUUUCGUCAAUAGGAAAACGGCGGCUCCUAAGUAAUCGAUAAAAGCGGAAACCCUUUAGUAUUCUUCAAACAAAAAGGAAUGUGUAUUUGUUACACAGUCUCUUCCUCUGAUACCAACUGAAGAGUUUAAAAAUCUAGUAGGAUCGAUAUGUUCUAAACGGUGAAUAAAGCAAUAAGAACAAGACACAGGAAUGGCUCAAACAAUAAUGAAUGAUUAAGCUUUAACACCCCAGAAGAGCUCGAUGAAGAACUUCGACUGUAUAGGUGUUUUUAGGGUUACAGAACGAUAAUCAAAGUAAAACUUAGGAACUAAUCUUAAUGCAUACAUUCAUCCACUAUAUAUAUACUACAUAACCCUAACAAAACACGGAUGGACAAGCCUAAUCCGGUAAUUCAAAACAAAGCCCAUGAUGCAACAUAUUUAUCCUACACUUAAGUUUCCAAACUUACCAUUUUGCCACUAGGGCCACCUUUUGCCACUUCCUUCUACAUCAAGGGCCAAAAUAACCUAAUUAGAAUCCGAGGGGGUGAAUUUGAAGCUACUGGAAAAAUGGGAUGUUACAAUAUAUAAACUAAAUUCCAAUAUUAAAAUAAUAUAUUUACUUCUAUUGAUAAAUUUAUGUUUUUUAACUUUUAACAUAUUAUACUUAAUUUAUUAGUUUUAAUAUAUUAUUGGAUGUAAACCAUUAUCAUUUUAAAGAUACAAAUUGUGACAACCCGAUAUUUCAACUCUAUGUAAUGACCUAAAAGUCAAGUAUUGUAACCACUUUUGUGAUAAUGAAAUUAACUUCGAAAAUAAAAUGUCCAAAAAGUUUCUAUUUAAUUACCUACUAUGAUAGAUGUCAUCAAACCAUGAUCGUACGUAAAAAGAAUGCCCAAAUACAACUUCGUAUAUUGAAAUUAUGAUUUUUCCAAGUUCGGCUUAGCGACAGACUGCUAAAAACUCGAAUCGGAGAUCGACCAACUUUUGACCGGAAUGACCUAAACGAGAAUCGAAGGUCUCGACAAUGAUAUUUCAGCGGUAAAAAGUCUGGAAAAAACAGAUGUCAGAUAAAGAAGUUAUGAAUUUCUAAAGAAAUUUUCUUAAACGCGACCGUUUAAAAAUAAAUAAUAAAAACAAUUUCAAAAUUUGCCGACGGAAUCUAAACGAAAGUUGUAGAGCAUAGUCUCACCUACGCGUGGAUAUAAAGAACGUCGAAAACGGAGUUCGUAUGAAGAAGAUAUGAAUUUUAGAAGUUUAUUAAAUAAAUAAAAUAUAAAUUUCAUUAUUUAUCCUUGGUAUUAUCCGAAGGCAGGUCAUCAGAUAGGGCCGAGUUACGCCCAGCGUAAUCUCGUACGCCUAGCGUACUCAAGGCCUAGGCCUCAGAUCGUCCACGUCUCGCCCUAUGCGAAGCUAGCCUUGUCCCAUCCGAAGUCCGAGGCAGUCGGGGAUCCGGUCAUGCGUGACGCACACGUACGCCCAGCGUACUCGCGUACGCCCCGUGUACUCGCGUACGCCCCGUGUACCGAGGCGGUUCCCACCCCCUAUAUAAGGGAUGCGAGGGUUUCGAAGAAAAGGGCCAUUCUCUCUCAUUUCUCUUGCGUUCUUGCCUCGUUUUCCAUGCCCGUGCUAACCCGAAGCCCGGGUCACUUUGCUCAAGUUCCGAAGGUCGUUUGUGCUCCCGAGAUUCCGAGAAUCCCAAGAAAAUCCGUUUCCCUGAGAAAAAAUUCUGCCCGGUUUUCAUCUCGCCUUUCUUCGAUCUUUCAAGUGAUUUCAUACCCCUUAAUUAACCUUUUAAAUGUUCUAUAAAUGCUUUUAUAUGCUUUCAAUGGGGGGAAUACAAGUAAAACACACGAUUAUUAUCGUGUGUUAUAUAAUGUUUUAUUAUACACUUUUAUUCAAUAGAAUCAUAUGUGAUUUAUAAACUUUAUAGGGAACUUUCUUAUGUAAAGUAUAUCACGAUAACAUUAUAUCUUUUUGAAAUGAAAAGUGUUGUUAUAUAUGUAUAAAGUAAACACCCUGCUUAGUUUACAUGUAUAUGUGUCCAACUUAGACACUAUAAAAAUCUAUACUUUCAUACCAAGUGAUUCAUUUUCUAGGGAUUUCUAAACAAACGAGACACACUUUUAGAAAGCUAUAAUAGGUAUAGUUUUACGAGAAUAUUGCUAACUUUUACAUAUUAGAAACACAAUUUUCAAGAAGUCACUUUCAGAUACAAGAAACAAACAAACAUUUUCACAUGUAAAUCUGUUUUUAUACUAAGAUUUGUGAGACAUUAACUUCACGUACAUUCGAGUACACAUUUCAAGUCCUAUAUUACAUACCAGAAUCCCUUGGAGGGGGAGCAUGGUGUUUGUGUAUAGAUCUAUACAAGCUUGACAACUCGCGCCCUGACUGUUAGCUAUAGUCCACCAUUUUGGGUGACAAACGUCAUAACAUUCCAACGCCUGAAGAACGUUGUGUAUAGGCAAUCCGAGUCAAUAGUAUGGUUAUAAAACUCACAUGGGGUAUUAAAAAUACAUUGAUUUACGAGGUUUUNAAUACAUUGAUUUACGAGUUUUUAUUCAAACAUAUUGGAUAUUUUACACGUACAUACAUUUUCUAAAAACAAACAUUUGUCUUGUUAGAAGGCUACAUUUAUUCUAGUAGAAAAUAUGGGAUUUUCUAGAAACAAGCAAACAAAAACAAAACAUUUCAUUUCAUACAAACAUUUUCAUUUAAUACUUAUGAAACUCACCAGCUUAAAUACUGAUCUACUCUUUCAAAACUACUUGUAUGUCCCAGGAUUCAGUAAUUACAGGUAUCAAACAACUUUUGAAGAAGGGACGCUGCGUCGUCAGUUUAACUUCAUAUUUUGGCAUCAUAUUGUAAUUGGUUUUGAACAUGUACUUUUCAAACAAUGUAAACUUUCAUUUAUAUAUAUGAUGGUUGUAUUGCUUUCUUUACUAUGUAUUCAUUUGUUAUGCUACCACAUGAAGUCAUCCGCCCCCGAACGUUUCCUCCGUUCUGGUUUGGGGGUGUGACAAAUUGGUAUCAGAGGAAUGUUUAUGGUGAACUAAGUAUAUCAAACCACAUAAGAUAUACAAACUAUAAAUGCUUAAGGGACUAAUACUCUCUGAUAAAACAUUUUCUUAUGUUUUGUUUUACGCCUAAGACGCGUUUCGUUUAACUUUUAAUGUUAAUUCAUUCAAGUACAAAUACAUACAUACAACAAACAUGUUUUCAUGAUUAUAACUAUACAAGAAGUAUUUAGACAAGUUGAAAACUACGAUUAAGACUCGAUAUAUGUAAUCGGAUUUGGGACAAAUAUAGCAUGAUCAACUAUAUUUGUCCGAGAUCGGACCAAUAUAUAUUGAGGAUUGCUCGUAGUACGCAACAAGUCAAAACUUACCAAAACAUCACGGGAAUCAAACACACGAAUUUAAAUACUAUAGGAGUAUUUAUUUCGUAGGAUAGCUUAUCAUACCUGUUUAGACUUACAUGUUCCAAACAUUAUUCGAUUCUUAUAACCCUAUUCUCGUACAGUCAAAUGGCUGGAUUUCACCACCCCGGCGACCCCUACUAUUCCAACCAAGGCAACGGGGGAUCGAUCGAAGUGGAUCACGAAGAGGACGAAGAACCCAUAGAAUUGGAUGAUGACUCCGGUACCGACUCAGAGCCGGAAGUGAUCAAUCCACCACCCGCACAACCUCCCGUCUUCGUAAGGAACUUUCAAGGACCGACUCCCGUCUGGGGAAGUCACCUCCACCAUUGGAGCCAACAAGAAAACCUACGCCCUCCCUACCGCAUGUGUCGAUACUUCUACAAUGUCCGCGGCGGAGGUUCAGCUGAUCGGGCACUACCAGUAACGGUGGGCAAGCUAUCCAAUCAGUCCUACCAAUCCGGAGUUCAAGCUAGCCGGAUUCGGGAUAUCAACGUAGAAGUACAGGUUGACACUUAUGACAUCUGUAGGCUGGACAGAAUUCAAGACAAUGCCCUACUCCAAACUGAGGCAUUCCAAGCUCAAAUGAUUGCAGCCCUAGCCGAAUUGAGGGAACAACAAGCCGCUUUUGAUAGGCGUCUAAUGGAAUCGAAGCAAUCGGAUGCGGAGUCAAGCUCCAAGCGCAACCCACGUCGCAAGUAGUGCUUGCCAAAAUCUCAAAUUUUGUUAUAAGUUAGGAACUCGGCUAAAAGUUUUUAAAUUUCUUAAGCUUUGUAACCGGAGAACCUUAUAGGGGUCAAAUUUUUGUGAUCAUUGUAUCAACUAUUAUAUUAAUAUAAGUGGCACUAUUAUUACUACGUAGAGUAUUUCAUUCAAUCCUUAAAAAGUUAUAGAAAAACCAAAUGCUUGUUUCAUAUUUUUAGUCUUACAAAUAACUUUCAUUCUUCUAUUUUGGGACUUGUACUAUCAUCUGUCGUUAGACUAUAGAAAUCUAGUUCAUAAGACACAUUCAGUUUCUAUACUAAGGAAUUCUUAUCGUUAUCUUUUCAACCUAUAGUUGAAGGAUGCCUCCGCGUAGGAACCCAAGGCGAAACAACGGUGGGGAAGCACCUAUACCACCACCACCUCCACCNNNNNNNNNNNNNNNNNNNNNNNNNNNNNNNNNNNNNNNNNNNNNNNNNNNNNNNNNNNNNNNNNNNNNNNNNNNNNNNNNNNNNNNNNNNNNNNNNNNNGAGAGAAUACUGUCCACAAGGAGAGAUUCAAAAACUCGAGCACGAGCUCUGGACUANGGACUAUUGGAAUGAUUGGUACCGACAUAGCAACUUAUACCAACAGAUUCUGCAAUCUGGCAAUCCUUUGCCCAGAUAUGAUUGCUCUUGAGAGCAAGAAAAUAAAGAGAUACAUUUGGGGACUGUCGCCCCAAAUUCGGUCAAGUGUGUUAGCUUCAAAACCUGACACUUUCGAAAGUGCCAAGGAACUGGCACAAUCUCUUGUUGACUACGGAGGUCAUCAAAACUCGACAGUUUUUGCACCAGAACCACAGAAGGGAAACAACAACAACAAUAACAGGAAGAGAGUAUGAAAUAAAGGGAAGGGUGGGUCUUCCCAGGAAUCCGCGAAGAGGUUUCAGUGAACGUUGCCACUGUACCUACUACCGUUCCUACAAAUCCCUACCCAACAAAGACUUAUGGGGGUAACCUUCCAAAGUGCACUAAAUGCACUUACCAUUAUCAUGGACCUUGUCAGGAAAUGCAGUGCUCCAACUGCAAUAGAAAGGGACACACUGUCCGUUUCUGCAAGGAUCCCGCAAAGCCGAUCACUCAAGUUCCCAGCACGGUUGUAGGCGAAACUUGCUACGGUUGUGGCGAGGUGGGCCACUACAAGAGAAACUGCCCAAAGGCAGCAAAUACCGGCGGGGUAGGACGAGUUUUGGCUAUAGGCCACGAUGAAGCUGUAGCUGAUCCGACUGUAGUUGCUGCUACGUUCCUUCUUGAUAAUUCAUAUGCAUGCAUAUUAUUCGAUAGUGGAGCGGAGAGGAGCUUCAUGAGUCAAAACAUUAUUCACUUACUUAAACGUAAACCUAGAAAGUUAGAAAAAUCAUUCACUAUAGAAAUGGCAAACGGAUUAACAGAAAACACUAACUGCAUAUACAUGGGCUGUACUUUAACUUUAGACGGUCAUUCUUUCCCAAUCAACCUCAUGCCAGUCCAAAUUAAAAGUUUCGACGUCAUAGUCGGCAUGGAUUGGUUAAGUCUUCUUUGCACCGACAUCAUGUGCUUUGAGAAAGCAGUUUGUCUUAAUCUCUCUAACAACGAAACAUUAGUGAUUUACGGUGACAAAUCAAGUACAAACCUUUGCAUCAUUUCGUGCAUCCAAGCUCAAAUGUGUUUACGGAAGGAUUGUCGAGAAUUCCUAGCACACAUCGUCGAUACGAGUCAGGAACUGAAGGACAUCAAGAACAUUCCAGAAGUACGCGACUUUCCCGAUAUCUUUCCGGAAGAACUACCGGGAUUAACACCACAACGCCAAGUCGAGUUCAGAAUCGACUUAGUUCCAGGGGCUACCCCAGUAGCGAAAUCGCCUUAUCGUCUGGCACCAACAGNGAACUUUCCAGUCAACUUAAUGAACUCCUUCAAAAAGGAUUCAUAAGACCAAGUUUCUCACCUUGGGGAGCACCGGUCUUGUUCGUAAAGAAGAAAGACGGAUCGUUCCGUAUGUGCAUUGACUACAGAGAACUGAACAAACUUACUGUCAAAAAUCGUUAUCCUCUACCCCGCAUUGACGACCUAUUUGAUGAACUUCAAGGAGCAAACUACUUCUCGAANCAAUUACGAGUUCUAGAGGGGGACAUUCCAAAGACAGCCUUCCGAACUCGUUAUGGACACUAUGAGUUUGUAGUGAUGCUGUUCGGAUUAACCAAUGCACCAGCAGUAUUCAUGGACCUAAUGAAUAGGGUGUGCCAUCCUUACUUAGAUCAGUUCGUCAUCGUCUUCAUCGAUGACAUACUUAUCUACUCCCGAAGUAAGGAAGAGCAUAGUCAGCACCUACGAAAAGUCUUAGAAACACUGCGAUCAGAGAAACUCUAUGCGAAGUUCUCUAAAUGCGAAUUUUGGAUUCGAAGAGUCGAAUUUUUAGGUCACGUUGUUAGCGAGAAAGGUAUACACGUGGACCCCUCCAAAAUUAAGGCUAUUGAGAACUGGUCGGCACCAAAGACACCUACAGAAAUUCGUCAAUUUCUAGGUCUAGCUGGCUACUAUCGCAGAUUCAUAAAGAACUUUUCGAGCAUUGCGAAACCUCUUACUUCAUUAACCCAGAAAGGUGUGGCCUUUGACUGGGAAGCGAAACAAGAGAAGGCAUUCCAGACACUAAAGCAGGCCUUGUGCACCGCACCGAUACUAUCCCUCCCCGAAGGGAUAGAAGACUUCGUAGUGUAUUGCGAUGCUUCAAAUCAAGGACUUGGUUGUGUUCUUAUGCAGAGAGGGAAGGUUAUCGCUUAUGCCUCCCGACAGCUUAAGACACACGAAGUGAACUAUACGACACACGACCUCGAGUUAGGAGCAGUGGUAUUUGCUCUGAAGAUCUGGAGGCACUACUUAUACGGAACAAAGAGUACUAUAUUCACCGAUCACAAGAGCCUUCAACACAUUUUCGAUCAGAAGGAACUCAACAUGCGACAACGACGAUGGGUUGAGUUACUGAAUGACUACGAAUGCGAAAUUCGUUAUCAUCCUGGCAAGGCCAACGUAGUAGCCGACGCCCUCAGUCGAAAGGAAUACACUGGUCGGAGGGUCAAAUCUCUGACCAUGACUAUCCAUUCCCACUUAUCCACACAAAUUAAGGAGGCACAAAUGGAAGCUUUGCAACCUGAAAAUGUGGCAGGUGAAUCCCUGCGAGGAAUGGAGAAGAAUCUAGAAGUCAAGGGUGGCGGAGCCUACUAUCUCAUGGACCGAAUCUGGACCCCAAAACAUGGUGGUUUCAGAAACGUAGUCAUGACCGAGGCUCACAACUCAAGAUAUUCCGUUCACCCGGGUUCAGAUAAAAUGUAUCUGGAUCUUAAGAAACUGUACUGGUGGCCUAACAUGAAAGCAGAAAUUGCUACCUUCGUGAGUAAAUGUCUUACUUGCGCUAAGGUUAAGGUCGAGUAUCAGAAACCGUCAGGAUUACUACAACAACCAGAGAUACCAGAAUGGAAAUGGGAGCGGAUUACUAUGGACUUCAUAACCAAGUUACCCAAGACGACAAGUGGACUCGAUACCAUAUGGGUCAUUGUCGACAGAUUGACCAAAUCCGCGCAUUUCCUACCCAUCAAGGAGACUGACAAAAUGGAGAAGCUUACAAGAACUUACUUAAGGGAAGUAGUGCGACUGCAUGGUGUUCCGAUAUCCAUUAUCUCCGAUCGAGAUAGUAGAUUCACUUCAAGAUUCUGGCAGUCACUACAAAGUUCCCUGGGAACUAGGCUAGACAUGAGUACAGCCUACCACCCACAGACAGACGGACAAAGUGAGAGAACAAUACAAACUUUAGAAGACAUGCUGAGAGCCUGUGUGAUUGACUUUGGAAAGGCAUGGGAUAUUCAUUUACCCCUUGUCGAAUUUUCAUACAACAAUAGUUAUCAUACAAGCAUAAAGGCUGCUCCGUUUGAAGCCCUCUAUGGUCGAAAGUGCAGGUCCCCUCUGUGCUGGACUGAAGUUGGCGACACCCAGUUAGCUAAAGGACGAGUUCCUGAAAGCACUCUCACCGGUCCGGAAAUCAUACGAGAAACGACAGAGAAGAUCGUUCAGAUUCGUGAACGAUUGAAAGCCUCUAGAGACCGACAGAAAAGCUACGCUGACCAAAGGAGGAAACCUUUGGAAUUCCAGGUAGGAGACCACGUCUUAUUAAAGGUCUCACCGUGGAAGGGUUUAAUACGCUUUGGAAAGCGUGGGAAACUAAAUCCAAGAUACAUAGGGCCUUUCGAGAUUCUUGCCAGAAUCGGCCCUGUGGCUUACAAGCUUAACCUACCGCGUGAACUUAGUAACAUACAUCCAACCUUCCACGUCUCAAACUUGAAAAAGUGUCUGUCCGAUGAGACUCUUGUUAUUCCACUCGACGAGAUCGAGAUCAACGAGAGCCUCAACUUUGUGGAAGAACCAGUAGAAAUCAUGGACCGAGAGGUCAAACAAACAAAACAAAGUCGCAUACCCAUCGUGAAGGUUCGCUGGAACGCCAAGCGGGGACCUGAAUUCACAUGGGAACGCGAAGAUCAGAUGAAACAAAAGUACCCUCAUCUUUUUCAUAUUCACUAGUAUCUUUACUACUUUAAAUUUCGGGACGAAAUUCCCUCUAACGGGGGGAUGAUGUGACAACCCGAUAUUUCAACUCUAUGUAAUGACCUAAAAAGUCAAUUAUUGUAACCACUUUUGUGAUAAUGAAAUUAACUUCUAAAAUAAAAUGUCCAAAAAGUUUCUAUUUAAUUACCUACUAUGAUUGAUGUCAUUAAACCGUGAUCGUACGUAAAAAGAACGCCCAAAUCCGACUUCGUAUAUUGAAGUUAUGAUUUUUCCAAGUUCGGCUUAGCGACAGACAGCUAAAAACUCGAAUCGGAGAUCGAGCGACUUUUGACCGGAAUGACCUAAACGAGAAUCGAAGGUCUCGACAAUGGUAUUUCAGCGGUAAAAAGUCUGGCAAAAACAGACGUCAGAUAAAGAAGUUAUGAAUUUCUAACGAAAUUUUCUUAACGCGACAUUUUAAAAAUAAAUAAUAAAAAUAAUUUCAAAUUUUGCCGACGGAAUCUAAACGAAAGUUGUAGAGCAUAGUCUCACCUACGCGUGGAUAUAAAGAACGUCGAAAACGGAGUUCGUAUGAAGAAGAUAUGAAUUUUAGAAGUUUAUUAAAUAAAUAAAAUAUAAAUUUUAUUAUUUAUCCUUGGUAUUAUCCGAAGGCAGGUCAUCAGAUAGGGCCGAGUUACGCCCAGCGGAAUCUCGUACGCCCAGCGUACUCAAGGCCUAGGCCUCGGAUCGUCCACGUCUCGCCCUAUGCGAAGCUAGCCUUGUCCCAUCCGAAGUCCGAGGCAGUCAAGGAUCCGGUCAUGCGUGACGCUUGCGUACGCCCAGCGUACCGAGGCGGUUCCCACCCUCUAUAAAAGGGAUGCGAGGGUUUCGAAGAAAAGGGCCAUUCUCUCUCAUUUCUCUUGCGUUCUUGCCUCGUUUUCCGUGCCCGUGCUAACCCGAAGCCCCCGUCACUUUGCUCAAGUCCCAAAGGUUAUUUGUGCUCCUGAGAUUCCCGAGAAAAUCCGUUUUCCCGAGAAGAAAUUCUGCCCGGUUUUCAUCUCGCCUUUCUUCGAUCUUUCAAGUGAGUUCAUACCCCUUAAUUAACCCUUUUAAAUAUUCUAUAAAUGCUUUUAUAUGCUUUCAAGGGGGGAAUACAAGUAAAACACACGAUUAUUAUCGUGUGUUAUAUAAAGUUUUAUUAUACACUUUUAUUCAAUAGAAUCAUAUGUGAUUUAUAAACUUUAUAGGGAACUUUCGUACGUAAAGUAUAUCACGAUAACAUUAUAUCUUUUUGAAAUGAAAAAUGUUGUUAUAUAUGUAUAAAUUAAACACCCUACUUAGAUUACAUGUAUAUGUGUCCAACUUAGAGACUAUAAAAAUCUAUACUUUCAUACCAAGUGAUUCAUUUUCUAGGGAUUUCUAAACAAACGAGACACACUUUUAGAAAGCUAUAAUAGGUAUAGUUUUACGAGAAUAUUGCUAACUUUUACAUACUAGAAACAUAAUUUUCAAGAAGUCACUUUCAGAUACAAGAAACAAACGAACAUUUUAACACGUAAAUCUGUUUUUAUACUAAGAUUUGUGAGACAUUAACUUCACGUACAUUCGAGUACACAUAUCAAGUCCUGUAUUAUAUACCAGAAUCCCUUGGAGGGGGAGCAUGGUGUUUGUGUAUAGAUCUAUACGGGCUUGACAACCCGCGCCCUGACUGUUAGCUACAGUCCACCAUUUGGGGUGACAAACAUCAUAACAUUCCAAUGCCUGAAGAACAUUGUGUAUAGGCAAUCCGAGUCAAUAGUAUGGUUAUAAAAACUCACAUGAGGUACUAAAAAUACAUUGAUUUACAAGGUUUUAUUCAAACAUAUUGGAUGUUUUACACGUACAUACAUUUUCUAGAAACAAACAUUUGUCUUGUUAGAAGGCUACAUUUAUGCUAGUAGAAAAUAUGGGAUUUUCUAGAAACAAACAAACAAAAACAAAACAUUUCAUUUCAUACAAACAUUGUCAUUUAAUACUUAUGAAACUCACCAGCUUAAAUGUUGAUCUACUCUUUCAAAACUACUUGUACAGGGACGGUCCUAGCCGAUUUGAGGCCCGGGGAAAAUAAAAAAAUGAGGCCCUUCUUAGUAAAAGAAUUAUAAUCAAUCAGUUUCGAUUAAUAUACGAAACAGUAACAUGUGUUAAUUCACUAGAACGUUUUUGGUAAAAAAGGACGGAACCUUUCGAAAAAUUAUUAUUAAAAAUAAUUAAUACAUUAGAGGUUACAACUGAACAUAAAUAUACAUGGAUUACUAUAUAGAUUAGUAUAUGUUUAUCUGUAUAAGUCUCCAUUCGUCAACAUGUGAUUAAAACUUGUCUCUUUGCAUAUUUCUUUCUUGAGGUUUUUAUACCGUUUGCUUCACAUAGACAAAAAAAAAAGUCACUAAUUAAUAGAAUAACACAAGAUAUUCUUGAUUAGCACCAUGUGAAAUCAAACAUAACUAGAAAUCAAAUAUUUAAAGCUAAUCUUACAAUAUAUUCAAACCUUAGAAACAUUUUUCCUUUGUUCCACACACCACCUGUACUCAUAUUCCAACAUCCUUUUUUUAUUAUAAUUCUGCUAUAGAUGCUUGUACUUGGAGAAAGUUGAAAAUGUGAUUGAAGUCCAUGGAUAUAAAUUUCUUUUUCUUGUCCUUUGUUUGAUAGAUAGCACGAUUCAUUAUGCAUUCACAAUUGGUAAAAUAUUAAAGAAAAGCACCACUGAUCAUAGAUUAGAAACUUGGAAUCAAUAUACUAUGCAGAACAAAAUGAAAUUGUAAAUCUGUGUUACCUGUAUUUUAUUCAAAAAGUAGAUUUCAUUAUGGCAUUUCAUCAAACACUUAAUAGACAAACAAAAUCACACAUUUUCUCUAGGUAAAGAAGCUUGUGCAAAGGAAUAAAUCCACUGUAGAAAUGAUAAACAACACAAAUGGAAAAGAAAAGUAAUAUAUUAACUUUAGGUUAAUAUCCAUAACCCACUUUAGAAAUCAGAAAAUCGAGUCCCAUUCAAACCCAUAAAUCAAAACCUAAAUCUAUAGAAAUCGAUAAACAAAGCAAAUGAGAAAAGAAAAGCAAUGCAUUACCUUUAGAUUGAUAUCCAUAAUCCAUUCUCCUUGUGAAGGUGAUUAAAUUGCUUCUUGAACUGUUAAGAAAUGUUUUAGGACUUCAAAGAUUUAAGAGGAAGGAAAAGGAAGUUGGGAAAUUUAAGAGACGGCGACUCUAGGAGAGUCUUUUCCUGCUUAAAAAUAAAAAGAAAAAAAGAAUUAUACACAGGAAAAUAAUGUAAAAAUUCCAAAAAAGAAAUGCAAAUCUCUAAAAACGUAACAACCGCGGUUCGAACAUGGGACUAACUUAUAGGACUCAAACUCCCGGACGACUUAACCAUGUCAACUGCACAUUCUUUAGGUUUUGUGCUACUAAAUAUAUUAUAUAUCUUACGCCAUAAUAUAUAUAUAUAUAUAUACACUAACCGUAACUUGUAGGGCCCCGAGAUUUGGCGAGGCCCGGGGCGGUCGCCCAGCUUGCCCUCCCUAUAGGGUCGGCCCUGUACUUGUAUGUCCCAGGGAUUCAGUAAUUACAGGUAUCAAACAGCUUUUGAAGAAGGGACGCUGCGUCAUCAGUUUAACUUCAUAUUUUGGCAUCAUAUUGUAAUUGGUUUUGAACAUGUACUUUUCAAACAAUGUAAACUUUCAAUUAUAUAUAUGAUGAUUGUAUUGCUUUCUUUACUAUGUAUUCAUUUGUUAUGCUACCACAUGAAGUCAUCCGCCUCCGAACGUUUCCGCCGUUCUGGUUUGGGGGUGUGACACAAAUUAGGAACAAUUUGUAUAAAAUACUUAAAUUAUUAAUUUAAAUAUAAAAUUACAAGUUCAACGUAUAUAUAAAUUUUAGUUUAACUUAAAUAACUAAAAUAAAUACUUUGUAAAUAGUUAAAAGUGAUAAAUUAUAGUGUCUUUCUAUUAAUGAUUAUAAGUUGGUUAAUAAAGGUUAAGUAAAUAUUAAACCUAAAAUGUAAUCAUAAAUAAACUAAAUUUCAAUUUUAAAAUAAUAUAUUUAUUUUUACUUAUAAAGUUAUGUCUUUAACUUUGAACAUAUUAUACUUAAUUUAUUAUAUUUAAUAUGUUGUAAUAUGUAAACCAUUAUCAGUUUAAAGCUACAACUUUUGAACAGUUUGGACAAAAUACUUAUAUUGUUAACUUAAAUAUAACAUUACAAUGUCAACUUAAAUAUAAAUUUCAAUUCCACUUAAAUAUAAAAUUACAAUGUCAACUUAAAAAAAACCAACGAAUAUUUUGUAAAUAGUUAAAAGUGAUAAAUUGUAAUGAUAAAUGCAAAAACUAAAUUGUAAUCUCAAUUUAACUAAAAUAAUUCCUAAACAUAUUUUUAUAAUCGUUAAAAUUUUUCAAAUAAGUAGUUUAAAAUAACUUACAAUAACAAUACUUAAAAUUGACUCUAUAUAAAUGAUUAUAUUGUUACCUUUAAAAUCAAAACAUAAUGUUUGAUGUUUUAAAUAAUUAUAAUGAUAAAAAUUAAAACAUUAAUCAAAUAAGUUUUAGAAAUUAGUGAACAACAGCAACCACUAUAAAUAACAUUAAACCAUAUAUUAUAUUUAGUUUUAUUCAUGUGUAACUCGCAAGUAGAAGUCAUUCAAACGAUUGAGAUUAUGAAGUUAUAAUAGAUGUAUAUAUUACCAUAUAAUUCAAAAUAAUCAAUAUAUUAUAUCAAUUUAUUCUACAAAAUAUAAUAUCAAAUUUAACAACAACGUUAUUGUUAUGUAUAAAAAAACAUAUAUUUGUAAAGACUUCAACUAUAUAGGUGUUUCUACGCAUUACAAUGUCAACAUAAAUAUAAAUUUCAAUUACGCUUAAAAAACAAAAUAAUAUUUUGUAAAUAGUUAAAAGAUAUAAAUUAUAGUGAUAAAUGCAAAAACUAAAUUGUAAUCUCAAUCUAACUAAAAUAUUUCCUAAAAAUAUUUUUUAUAAUCAUUAAAAGUUUCCAAAUAAGCAGCUUAAAAUAACUUACAAUAAAAAUAGUUAAAAAUAACUUUAUAUAAAUGAUUAUAUUAUCACCUUUAAAUAAAAAAAUAACGUUUGAUAUUUUAAAUAAUUAUAAUGAUAGAAAUUAAAACCUUAUGCAGAUAAAUUUUUAAAAAUUAAUUAACAAUUACAACAACUAUAAAUAACAUUAAACGAUAUAUUAUAUUUAAUUUCAUUCAUGUGUAACUCGCGGAUAGAAGUCAUUCAACCGAUUGAGAUUACGAGGUUAUAAUAAANUAUAUAUAUAUAUAUAGGGAAUAGUGAAUAUGUGGUUGUAAUUUACCUAAGUUUAUAUAUAGAACCCUCCAAACUAUGUAGUUUUGAUCCAUAUAUAUCAAAACCAAUCAUGAUAUCUCGUUUACUAUUCUUCCUUAAUCAUGUGACUUACUAAGUCAAUUGAAAUUAUAUUCUUUUUCUUCAUUGUGUCUAAGAAUUUAAAACAUUAAACUCAUGACCAUUUAAUCAACUCUUCUAAAAUUUAAAUGAAAACUAAUAAAAUAAAAGAUAAAAGAAGAACCUACAAUAACUCAAUCAAUUUUUUCAUAAAUCAUUGGAGAUAGUUUUUCAAUUGAAGGACAAAACUUUUGAGUCAUAUUCGAUAAAAAAAAUAUUGGUUUUUUACUUUCUUUAUAAACUUCAAUGAUUUUUUACAAUAAAAAAUAUAUAAUUGAUCUUUUGCAUUUCAUUAUUUAAUUUAAUUCAAUGAUAAUCUAUUAAAACAAAUAUAAAAGACAAAUGAAAUUGGAUUUUUUUUUUGUUUAAAUCUACAUUAUUUAAAAGGUUCUAUACCUAAGCUUAGGUACAUAACAGCCACAUAUUCACUUUUCUCAUAUCUAUACAAACCUUACUAUUUCUAAAAAUAGAUUUAAGACGUCCAAACCUUUCAACUAAAUAUACAAACAUUUAUCAACAAAUUACAAAAUACAAUGCAUUAAGUACCAAUGUAAAAUUAAUAUUGAAACAUUCAAACCUACAUCCUUAUCUUACCCAAUAUAGAUAAUUUAAAUUUUAAAAAAAAAUCAUAUUCUUUGACUAGAAUGAGUCAACAUGGUACAAUCCUUAAAACAUAAUAUACAACAAGUUUAUGCAAUCAGAUCUUAUCCGUGAAUCAGUCAACAAAUGUUAAACCAAUCUUUUCUCAAUUUCAGCUUUUAAAUUGGUCAAAAUCAAAUGAAUCGGUUAGAUCAAAUCUGACUUCUUGAAUGAGUUGAAUUGGGCAUUAUUGUUUCAAAUGAAUCUUAUCACCCUUGUUAUUAAGGCGUUAUUGUUUUGACCUGACUCAUUCUUUAUCUCGUUGUUUCCUCAUAUCUCGGCAGAUUAUCUUCAUUCUUCAUAUAAAAUUGAAGACACAUCCAAAUCAGUGCCUCUCUAUCUGUGAUUAUCACCUAAACCUCCACCGUCCAGCAAUAAGAAGUCAUUUUUGCGUUUGGUUCAUCAUGUCUAUUUAUUUACCGAUUUUGUAUUUUUUUGUUUAGGGCAAACUAAUUUCUGAAAGAAAGUUAAUCGCACCCGUCGCUUGGCGCGGGUAAACGGCNCAUAUAUUAUCAUAUAAUUUAAAAUAAUCAAUAUAUUAUAUUAGAUUAAUAUAAAAAUUAUUAUAUCAAAUUUAAUAACAAUGUUAUUAUAAAACUAAAAAAAAUAAAUAUUUGUAAAGACUUCAUAUUUGCGUAGUAUGAAUAAUAAAUAAGGCAGAUCCAAAUGACAAGCCGACUGUAUUUAGUUGAGAGUCCAUAGGCCUAUCUAGGAUAACUCAAAAAGCCGACUGUAAUUCCAAAAAGCUCCACAAAGCCCAGAGACUCAGACUCAAGUUACUCGGUGAGUUUGUUCGUUCUCUCACGUCUUUGUCUCACCUCUCUCUUUCUGCACUAGUUUCGACCACUGAUGCACACCACCGGAAACGGAAAGAUGUCUUCCUCUCUAUGAGCUCUGAAUAUCCUGUUUUCCGGUCUCUAGUUUCAAGUAAGUUAACCUAAUUCUUGUUGUUUAGUUUUAUUUAAACCCCAAAUUACUUUACUUACUUUAUUAGUUUUGUGAUCUUUUAUAUCCAAGCCGUAAGUUAUAUACCCUAAAGUAUAUGACUUAAUUUUUGGGAUGAAUUCUAGCUUUUCAUUAUUGUGAUAUUAUGUGAUUUUCAAUUUUGUAAACUCUAAAUUAGGCAUGAUUAUCCCUAUAGUUCAUAUAGCUCAUAUGAAUUUACUUGGUCAUAGCUCUAUCUUGUUCCAGUCUUGUUUGCCCAACUUCUAUUUGGAAAAUGAUUGUUUCUGCAUGUAGAACACUUGAAUCUACCAUAUAAACUGCUUUUUUCACCUUUUUUUUUGUUCUAUAGAUGGUUUUCCGUUUGCUUAAUGGUUCGUUUUGACUAAAUCACAUUCUCUAUUGUUUAUGAUGGAUAUUGAUGACAUGUUUGGCCAGUCUUUUUGGAGCGAUGGAUGAACAAAUAUUCUUCUUUUUGUAGGCAGUGAAUAAGCCAUUUGAAUGAGUGUAAAUGACCAUUUUACCCAUUCACUAAGUAACAUUUUCUCAUUAUGCCCUUCUAGAAAACCAUGGAUCUUUACGACAUAUUUGGCAGUCUCUAAAUUUAGAAGACACCUACCUAAACGAAGGCUUCCAAGAAGGCUAUGACACCGGUUUUGCCUUGGGAAAAGACGAUGGGCGUGAAGUUGGAUUAAAAACAGAGUUCAUAAAUGGUGAGGAAUUAGGGUUUUAUAGAGGGUGCAUCGAUGUUUGGACCUCUGUGAUUCGAGUUGAACCCACGUGCUUCUCGAAAAGUGCUCAAAAGAAGAUUAAAGAGAUGGAUGAAUUGGUGUCCAAGUAUCCGAUUUUGGACCCUGAAAACAAGAAUGUCACACAUAUUAUGGGAUUAUUGAGGGUGAAAUUUCGGGCUAUUUGUGCAGCAUUGAAUAUGAAGUUGGAGUAUAAAGGGUACCCGAAAGAAAACGACAUUCUGUUUUGAGGUAUGUAAAUCAAUAAUUAAUGGGGAAUGUUUUUGGAUGGAAUGGAAUCCAUCAAAGGAAUUGGAAUCCGAGGGAAUUGAUGAAGGAACUGUUAUGAUUGGUCCUAAAUCUUGUUAAAAACCAAUUCCUCCUUUCAAGAUUCUUUUAGAAAGUUAUUUUUGGUUUUGUUUGCAAUCAUUUUGAAUCAGAAGUAACAAACCAUAUUUUUUUUCUAUCAAAUCCUGUUUGAAUAAAUAAUGUUUAAAUUAUUUGAAAAGAUGAUGAGAAGGAAGUGAAAUUUAUAUAAAAAAAUUAAAAUUUAAUGAGGAAAUCUUUUGUCUAUGAUUCUAAUUAUUAGUUAAUUCCAUGAAAUUAGCAGAUGAGAUCCAACUACAACUGUUUUGUUGGAUGAAGCACAGGUUUCAGAUCCUCUCAUCAUAGCUAGUUCUGUGAAAAGGUUUAAUAAUUUGCUCAAUGUUAUCUUGUUUAAAUGGUAAUCAAAUUCUCCAUGGAGAUGUUAAAGCUAACCACUUUUUUUCUGCAAUGUUUCUACAUGUUCUACCUGAGUAAUUUUUUGAAAAUUUAAAUAUGAUAUAUAUAACUUGAUAGUUCCCUUUUUUCAUUUCAGUGUUGGAAUUCUAGAAGAGUUGUGAGAUGAAGAUAAGGAACUCUUUCCAGUUGAAUGUAUCAUAGAGAUGAAGAAAGGAUCCAUCUUCUCUUAAUGUCAAACAUAGCAUUGGUUGCGCCUUAUGAGCCAUUAUACUUGAAAAUUUGUGUAAAAAUUAAAAGCUCUUAUUCUUAGCUGCUGUUUCUGUUUUCUUCUUUCAAAUCUCACUUUGCAUUUUGUGGUCCCAUUCCCAUCUUGUAGAUCUAGGUAUGAUUCCUGCCUGGUAUCAAGGACAUAUCUUUACCCAUUUUGUUCCUCUGUUUUUUAUUUCUUAAUUUUGUAAGCGUUUGUUACACUUUGGAUAGUAUUGAUAAACAACUAUGAAGUCUAGUUGAUUUGUAUGUAUAGUCAUGUGCUAAUUUAUCAACAUUAACAAGAAAGAGAUCAGGUUCAUGAUUCUCCUGACUGUUCAUAAGUAUUUUUUAGAGUUUUGUUUAUAAGUCCUUAUUUGAUUAGGGUAAGUUUUCUUCUUUUUAUACACAAUAAUGUUUCUAGCUUUUAGGAUUAGUUGAUUGUUGGAGAAAUUAUAUUCAUUGUGACCAUUAAAAGAGCAAAGGUCUUUUGUUGUUCUAUCUUACUAGUCAUUAUUUCCAUCAUCCUUCCACCAUCACUUUUAAAUAUGUGGAUUUUCUACAUAUAUUGUCUUUCUAAAGCUUAUUGUGUAACUUGUUUUUAUUAAACAAAUAGUAAAUGUACACGCUUUUGAUGCAUGGGUACAGAGGUACUGAAAAAAUGUGAUGGUAUUAAAAAAUGUUGUAUUGCACAGGCUUUGUAUGAAAACCGAUAAUUUUUCAUGCCUGUAUCACUUGCUCUAUAUUCUAUUAUUCUUAUUUAGAUUCGAACAUAUGUUUAAUUAAAGCAGAGCUUAGCUUAUUGACGACUUUAAUCCACUAAUUGAUCAUCUUUUUGCUGCUUAUUAUGUCUUAUUUAAUUAGAGUUGAGCAUGUAAUAUAAGUAACAAAGGUACUAAUCUGCUGUGUGUAAGGAACAACUCGUAGAGCAGGGAUGUAGUGUCAUUGUAAAAACUCAUUGUGCAACAAUAAUCAUUUUAUGUAAGUAUUUUUAUGUGUAACUUGCCUUGUAUUAAAACUACUAUGACUAAUUUAGUGAUGAUGUCAAAUUUUUAAUUUUUCAUUUAAAGUACCAAUGGCUGGAAAGCAUUAAAGUACAUUGCUAUUAAUAGCCAAUGUGAGUAUGUUGGCAUCAUGGUAAAAAACUAUAAGUAUGUUGCUGUUUUCCCUUCUUCAAAAGAUUUUUCCCCCUUUUUGGUGAGUUUUUAUGUGUAACUGAAUCGAACAACCCAGAUCAAACCAUAUCACUUAUAAUUUAUUGAUGAAAUGAUUCAAGCUGGGAAUGCUCGAAGAUGAUGGCUAGCUGACACCACAAAUCAGGUACAUGAUACGCCUGGAUGUUCAAGCAGGUGGGGCCAGGUGUAUCGGAGGAGAAAAUAAAAUUAUUUUUAUUACAGUUUUGUAUUUUUGGUAUUUAUUUGUUACUUGGGAGAUAAGAUAUUAUCUUUCCUAUUAUCUUUUCUAUUAUUUAGGAUCUGGAUUUGCAGAACAUUAUAAGUAUGAUUGUUUCUAGUUUUAAAGCAUCAAGGAAUAAGAAUUAAACCUUAGGGUUUUCUUGGAGUUUUUCCUGUUCUCGAAUUCAGGACCUAUCAUCUUGGUAUCAGAGCACCGAUUCUGAUGGCCGAUAAACUAGAAGGGAAAGGGACCAAUGCCGAAAGGUUGGGCUCUUUGGAAACCACUGUCAACCGGAUCCUGGAUGCGGCUGAGGCGCAUAAAGAGGAGGUAACAAUGAAGAUGGAUGAUCUGACUAGGGCUUUUUCCGAUUUGGCCCUGGCAAUGAAAAGAUCGGUCAAAAAACAAAAAAAAGGUGAUGCCAGUUCUUCAGUGGAGUCACAAAGCGACACCACUAGCGACAGCGAAGAUUCAGACGCUUCACAAGGCUCAAAGAAAUUUAGAAAAAAAGAGAAAAGGAGGAGUACUGGGCAAGGGUAUCGAAAAUUGAAGAUCCCUAUUUUCAGUGGGGAAGACGUGCAAGGUUGGGUUUACCGUAUUGAACAGUAUUUCGAGGUCCAGGAGGUCAAACGGAAGAAACGGCUUAAGGUGGUAGCGGUUUGUUUGGAGGGACCACCUCUCUCGUAGCAUCGUUGGCAAGACUCCAGGAAACCAUUCAACUCAUGGAUUAUGUUCAAAACCAAGUUGUUAGAUCGUUUUCAAUCAUCUCGGGAGGGUAGACUGUUGGAGCAAUUCUUAGCUCUCCAACAAGAUGGCACUGUUAGAGAUUAUGUCGAUCGUUUUGAAAGCCUUGCUGGCCAAGUAAGUGGUGUCUCGGAAUUUGUCCAGGAAAGUACUUUUAUAAAAGGCCUUAAGCCAAGUGUUCGUUCCGCUGUACGGAUUGCNGGAUUGUUGAACCGGAAUCGUUGUCACAAGCCAUCCGCAUGGCCCUGAAAAUUGACGAGAACAAGGGGCAAGGAGAGGUUAAGGCGGGUGGGUAUGGUACAAGUAAGUGGAACAACGGUGGUGCCGCCAAGACAAUUGCCACCCACACCCCGACUGGUAUUGUACCAGAAAAGAAGACGAGCUCGAACAACGGGGGCAGUACUCUCAAAAGACUGACACCGACCGAGUUAGCGUAGAAAAAGGCUAAGGGUAUUUGUUUUCGUUGUGAUGGCAAAUAUUCUCCGGGUCACCGCUGCCCUAGCAAGGCGUUGCAAGUGUUGUUGGUUGAUGAAGAAGAUACUGUAGAGGAGGAAGAAGAUGGAGACCACCCGCAUUUGGAGGGAAUUGAAGUGUCCUUAAAUUUUGUUUCGGGUCUCACCCCUCCGCGCACGAUGAAGGUACGGGCAAACAUUCAGGGGGUCCCGAUGGUAGUAUUAAUCGAUUGUGGAGCCACCCACUCAUUCGUCUCUAACCGGGUAAUCGAGAUUUUGGGGUUAAUGGUUAUUGAUACGGGAUCGGUGAGGGUCGUGUUGGGCAACGGGAGGAAAGAUAAGACACGGGGUACUUGCAAGGCAGUGACCCUAGAAUUGUAGGGGUGUAGUGUGGUGGAAGAUUUUAUUCCUUUGGAUUUGGGAAGUUCAGAUUUGAUUUUGGGCAUCACUUGGUUGCAAACGCUGGGUAAUGUCACAUCGAAUUGGAGGGAGUUGUGGAUGAGUUUCUGGGUUGACGGUCGAUUGAUCACCAUACGCGGGGACCCGAGCCUCUCUAAAUCCCUUGUGUCGUGUAAGGCGUUGGGGAAAUUGUUGCAAAAGGAGGGUGAGGGAUUCGUCAUCCACGUAGGUACUAUCAAAGACGAAGGCGAUUCAGGUCAGAACACGGGAACUACUCAGAUCAUAUUGGACAGUUUCAGAGAGGUUUUUAACACUCCGGAGGGGUUACCACCAUCAAGAAGCCACGAACACGCCAUUAAUUUACGCGAGGGAACGGGCCCCAUCAACAUCAGACCGUAUCGCUACCCACAUGUGCAAAAAGAUGAAAUUGAGAGAUUAGUGAAGGAAAUGUUAGAGGUGGGAGUGAUUCGGCCAAGUACUAGCCCGUUUUCGAGCCCGGUGUUGUUGGUCAAGAAAAAAGAUGGUAGCUGGCGGUUUUGUGUUGACUACCGGGCCCUCAACAAAGCAACAAUACUCGACAAAUUUCCGAUUCCGGUCAUAGAUGAGUUGUUGGAUGAGCUUCACGGGGUGGCGGUUUUCUCAAAUUGGAGCUUAAGUUGGGGUACCAUCAGAUUCACAUGAAGACGGAGGAUAUUCCGAAAACCGUGUUUCGGACACAUGAGGGCCACUACGAGUUCUUGGUAAUGCCGUGUGGAUUGACAAACGCCCCGGCUAAUUUUCAGUCGCUUAUGAAAAAGGUAUUUAGACCCUUUUUACGAAAAUUCGUGCUGGUUUUUUUUGAUGAUAUACUAGUGUACAGCAAAACCGAGCAUGAACACCGGGAUCAUCUUUCGACGGUACUUCGAGUUUUGCAAAAAAAAUCAUCUUUAUGCAAACCGAAAUAAAUGUUAUUUCAAUAAAAAACAGAUAGAGUACCUCGGUCAUAUUGUAUCAAAGGAUGGGGUUGCGGCUGAUUCGAGCAAGGUUUCUGCCAUGUUGAAAUGGCCACUACCCAAAACCUUGAAGGCGUUGCCUGGGUUUUUGGGUUUAACAGGAUAUUAUCGGAAGUUUGUUAAGGACUAUGGGAAGAUUGUGUGGCCGUUAACGGAACAAUUAGAGAAUGAUAAUUUUAAGUGGAACGAUGAGGCUACCGAGGCGUUUAAGAAAUUGCAACUAGCGAUGACUCAGCUACCGGUUUUAACUCUUCCGGAUUUUUCGAAGGAGUUUGUAUUGGAAACGGACGCAUCAGGGUAUGGUUUGGGGGCGGUUCUCAUGCAAGACGGGAGACCGGUGGCUUAUUUCAGUCAAGUGUUGGGGGCUCGAGCGCGACUAAAAUCAGUUUAUGAGCGUGAGCUCAUGGCCAUUGUGUUGGCUAUUCAAAAAUGGAAGCCGUAUUUAUCGGGUCGUAAAUUCGAACCGAUCAACGUAGCCUGAAAUUUUUACUCGAACAACGCGGGGUUACGGAAGACCACCAAAAGUGGUUAUCGAAAAUUAUGGGGUUUAAUUUUGAUAUUAUUUAUAAGCCGGGCAGCGAGAAUCGGGUAGUAGAUGCGCUGUCACGUAUCGAACAAGAGGCGGGAUUGACCGCGAUUACGACAGGUGGUGUUGAUUGGGGAGAGCUGUGGUCAGAUUUGGAUGCUGAUCCGGAGAUGGCGGCAAUUAAAAAAUGUGUUCGGGAUGGGUUGGCUCCGGUGGGGUAUUCAAUUAACCGUGAUCGGGUGGUGUUUGAGGGCCGGUUGGUCUUCCCGAAGGGGUCGCAUUGGGUGUCAGUUAUUUGCAAGGAAUUCCAUGAAGGUGUUGUCGGGGGUCAUUCCGGGGUACAAAAGACUUACCAGCGGCUUGCAAGAGAGGUGUAUUGGGUUGGAAUGAAGGGCAAUGUGGCUAGGUGGGUGGCGGAGUGUGACACAUGCCAAAGGCAUAAGUAUUCGACCAUGUCACCUAGUGGGUUGCUUCAGCCACUUGAAUUACCAUCGACGGUUUGGUUAGAGCUCACGAUGGACUUUAUUGAUGGUUUGCCAAGAUCGGAGGGUAAUACCGUUAUUUUCGUGGUGGUGGGUCGCUUGAGUAAGUAUACCCAUUUUCUGCCUCUCAAACACCCAUACACGGCCAACAAAGUAGCGAAUGUGUUUCUACUGGAGAUUGUUCGUCUUCACGGGGUGCUGGAGUCCAUUGUAUUGGACCGGGAUAAGGUGUUUGUUAGCAAGUUUUGGAAGGAGCUUUUCCGGAUGAUGGGUACCAAGUUGCGGAGGAGUACAACUUACCACCCGCAAACCAAUGGGCAAACCGAAGUGGUGAACCGGUGUUUGGAGACUUACCUCCGGUGUUUUACGGCUGAGACACCGUCUCGGUGGGUUUCUUGGCUACCGUGGGCGGAAUAUUGGUAUAACAGUUCCUUCCAUACCUCCGCGAAAACGACGCCUUUUCGGGUCUUAUAUGGGUGGGACCCGCCUCACUUGGUUUAUUAUGGUAAGGUGAAGACAGUGAUGGGUACGGUGGAGCAAUACUUGGAAGAAAGGGAUCGGAUGUUGCAAGAGCUAAAAAGACACUUGCUCAAAGCCCAACAAUAAAUGAAAAAGCAUGCGGAUGGGCAUCGACGGAACGAGAACUUUGAUGUGGGAGAUCGUGUGUACUUAAAAUUACAGCCCUACCGGCAGCGAACUGUGGCUUGACGGGUAAAUGAGAAGUUGGCACCUCGAUACUUUGGUCCUUUUGAAGUCUUGGAAAAAAUUGGACUCGUAGCAUACCGGUUGUUUCUUCCCGAUACAGCUCAAAUCCACAAUGUUUUUCAUGUGUCUCAUCUUAAACGUGCUAUCGAUAACCGGGUGGCUACUCCCAACUUACCAGCUACUUUGACAGAAGAAAUAGAAGUUUUGUUGCAGCCGGAGGCGGUGGAAGGUGUUCGUGAGGGGGCCAGGGAUAAAGAAGUUCUAAUUCGUUGGCAAGGUCUGCCAGAGUAUGAAGCAACAUGGGAGGAGUUUGCUAUUUUGAAGGGACAGUUCCCUGACUUCAACCUUGAGGACAAGGUUCAAAAUUGGGCGGGGAGUGAUGAUACGCCUGGAAGUUCAAGCAGGUGGGGCCAGGUGUAUCGGAGGAGAAAAUAAAAUUAUUUUUAUUACAGUUUGGUAUUUUUGGUAUUUAUUUGUUACUUGGGAGAUAAGAUAUUAUCUUUCCUAUUAUCUUUUCUAUUAUUUAGGAUCUGGAUUUGCAGAACAUUAUAAGUAUGAUUGUUUCUAGUUUUAAAGGAUCAAGGAAUAAGAAUUAAACCUUAGGGUUUUCUUGGAGUUUUUCAUGUUCUCGAAUUCAGGACCUAUCAGUACACAGGGAAACUUUUUCAUUCUGAUCUGAUGGAAACUUUCAUUAUAUUCUCAGGCUCAUUCAAUCUCAUUGUCAGAUUCUUGGAAUUAAUGUACAACACUAUCAAGGAAGGAUGGGAAACUCAGCUAAAUAUAGAGCAUCUUACUAGUAGGGAGUAUUUUGGGUAUAUAUGCUAUCUAGUUUGUUACAGCGUAUAUAGUGCUUAAUUAUAACAGGGUAUCAUUAUCUUUUGUCAAAUAUGGUCUUAGAACCUUUGUGAGAGGCUAGGCUAUCAUAUCUGUAGCAAAAUCAUUAGGGGUUUCUCUUGUAGUUUUAGUAUCAUCAGUACAUUCAGUGAAGCUUGUAUUCCUGUUCUUGUUUGUGAUUUUAUAUUAAAGUCAGUUCUUAGCAUUCUAGCUUGUAAUUAUGAAGAAAUAUUUGUAUGCCCACCGUUGAGGACUUUAUCGUAAUUUCAGACUAUGAUGUGUAUACAAGAAAUGAAGUUAUCGGUGACCCGUGUGGUUACGUCUGACCUUUGUCGGAAGCGUUCCAUAUAUCACCUAAUAGUAUUUCAAAUGCCACUUUCUUCAAUGCAGUUCAUGAAGCUAUCAGUCCAAAAGUCCAAAUUAUCCCUGAUGAGAUGAUGAGAUUGACACUGAAGACUUGAACAUCAUUGAUGUUGAAGAAGAUUUUAGUGCACCAAUCUUUGUUCAUCAUACAGAAGCUACGUUGGAUGAAAUAGACAAGAUGGUAAUUUGAUUUCUCAUCUGUUUUCUAAUCUUCUUGUUCCUUGCUUGUUUUAAGUUGAAAAUAGCUUAAAAGUAUUGGAUCUUUAUUUCAGGAUGAAGAUGUAUACGAGGAGCCAGUUUUGGACAUUGACAAUGCUGAUAAGGGUAAUCCCCUGGCUGUGGUUGAGUACAUUGAUGAAAUUUUCGCCCACUACCGAAAACAAGAGGUAUAUAUUUAUUUAAUCUUUUUUGUUUGUCAUGAUAAUUCUUGUUUUAUGUAUAUUCAUGUGCAUUCAUUGAUGGAAGAUUUGUGCAUCUACUAGUAGUAGAAAAUGACUUAGUAACAAAAUUGCAAAUAAAAGAUAGGAUUGAAUGUAGAAUGAUACAAAAUGAGUGGCAUUUUUCAAUACAAUUUCAGGUAUUAACUUGUGGUAGUUGAGGUAACAACACAUUAUUACACAACUAUUUACUUAAUUUUAUUCACAACAAUUAUAAAAUGAUAGCAAAUACUAAUAAUAAUAUGAAAACAGGUUCAUUACAAAUUUGAAUUGAUGGAAGAAACUUUAUAUCUAACAGUCAACCUCAUUGACCGAUUCCUGGAACGUCAAACCGUGUCAAGGAAGAAGUUCAGCUUGUUGGGGUGACAACCAUGCUUCUUGCAUGCAAAUAUGAAGAAAUCUCUGUCCCUGUUGUUGAGGACUUUAUUGUAAUUUCAGAGAACGCUUAUACAAUAACAGAAGUUCUUGACAUGGUAAUUAGAUUUAGUGAUUUACUUUCUGUUACAGGCUAUAUAAAAUAUAAAGAAAGUCCUUAAUUAUGAUAUUUUGUUUUUGUUUGAUGUUUAUGUUACAGGAGAAGGUAAUGGUGAACACCCUUCAAUUUAAUCUCUCGGUUCCCACUCCAUAUGUGUUCACUAAAAGAUUUCUCAAAGCUGCACAAUCUCAGAAGGAGGUGUGUUUUUUUUAUCUGUCUAUUUUCUUUAGAAUAUUGAUCUUGUGCUAGAAUUUAAAUAUUUUGGACAGAUAGUACGAUGAAUAUGUUCACUUCUUUGUGUCCAAGAAAUGUUAAUCUUCCAUAGUAAACUACCGAAUUAACAAUUCUAGACAAAAAAAAGUCACAAAAAUAUGCUCUUUUCACGUUCAAGAUUCUAUAUGUAAUGUUUUUGUGAAAGAAUUAAUGAUUUUGGACAUUAAAAUACGAAAUGGUGAAGUUCCCACCUUCUUUACUGGCAGCAGCUGCAGUCUUCAUUGCAGAAUGUGUGCAGAAUGUGUUGGGGUUGGAAAACUCUUCUAUUAAACACUAAAAUAGAAUUACAAUUGGAGGAGCAACUCUCACACUCAACUAUUACAAAAAACCAACCCUCUCACUAACACUCUCACUCUAAGUGUUAUACUUUGUGUUUCUCUGUAUUUGGGACGCUUACAACUGAAGAAUGAAGUCUCUAUUUAUAGUCUUGGCAGCCACCAUUGUAGUUGCCUUCAUUAACUGUGUUCAUCAUAGGUUUGAAAGACUUUGCCACCCUAGGUCUCAUUUUGUCAACAAUGGUGGCUACUGUAGCUUUGGAGGCUGGAACACAACAAAUCUCCCCCUCCAGUCUCCGUCCAACAAUCCUCAUCCCAACUAUGUCAGCACAUAGUUUGUGUUUCUCUUGUGUCACCACCUUUGUUAGCAUCUCUGCAGGAUUGUUGUUGGUGUUGAUCUUUAACAACUUCAAUUCUCAUCCCUCAAUUGCUUCUCUAAGCCAGUGAUAACGUAUAUCAAUAUGUUUUGUGCAGAAAUGGUACAUUGAGUUCUUACUCAGGUCCAUAGUACUCUUACUUAGGUCCAUAGCACUCAGUUCCACAAGAAGAGUACUUCUUGUGGAUAACCUAAUUCUUGAAGAAACCGUUACAUCCAUAUAAGCUCCUUCCCAGCUUCAACGGCAGCAAUAUACUCGGCUUCUGUUUUUGACAGCGCGACACACUUCUGUAGCUUGGAUUGUCACGAGAUAGCUCCCCCUACCAAAGUAAAAAUGUAACUUGAUGUAGAUUUCCUACUAUCAAGAUCUCCGGCCAAUCGGCAUCUNAUAACCUUCCACAAUUGGCUUUGCUCCCCCGUAGCAUAAACAUAGUUUCGAACUACCCUUCAGGUAUCGAAGUAUCCAUUUGACUGCUUCCCAAUGUUGUUUUUCCGGAUUAGCUAGAUAUCUACUCACAACACCGACAGCAUGAGCAAUAUCUGGUCUUGACACACCAUUGCAUACAUAAGACUUCCUAGGGCUGAGGAAUAGGGGACUGCCUUCAUCUCUUCUUUUUCUUUCUUAGAAGAUGGACAUUUUUCCUUACUCAACUUGAAGUGGUUAGCCAAGGGCGUACCAACGGGCUUGGCAUUUUCCAUGUUGAACCUUUUGAUCACAUGUUCAACAUACUCUUCCUGUGAUAAGAACAAUUUUCUUGAUUUUCUAUCACGGAUAAUUUUCAUGCCCAAUAUAUGUUGUGCUUGGCCUAAGUCUUUCAUAUCAAAGAACUUAGACAAAUCCUUCUUCAAGUUGUUGAUCAUCAUUGCAUCUAGGCCCACUAUCAACAUAUUAUCCACGUAGAGCAAAAGGAUGACAAAUUUCCCAUCUGGAAACUUCUUCAGAUAGACAGAAUGGUCUGCAACAGUUCUCUUGUACUCAUGAUUCAUCAUAAAUGAAUCAAACUUCUUGUACCACUGCCUUGGGGCUUGCUUAAGACCAUAAAGGUUGUUCUUUAAUUUACAGACGAGAUUCUCUUUCUUUGGGACUUUAAAGCCAUCGGGUUGCUCCAUGUAUAUUUCUUUAUCCAAAUCACCAUGGAGAAAGGCUGUUUUCACAUCCACCUGCUCAAGUUUAAGAUCUAGACUGGCAACUAAUCCGAGUACAACUCGAAUAGACAUCAUCUUCAGAACCGGCAAAAAAAUUUCAUCAAAGUCGAUGCCUUCUUUUUGUUGGAAGCCUUUGACAACAAGUCUCGCCUUAUACUUCAUAGUAUUUCCCUUUCCGUCUUUCUUCAGUUUGAAUACCCAUUUGUUUUUCAAGGCUUUCUUUCCUUUGGGGAGUUUCACAAACUCAUAUGUUUGAUUUUUCUGCAAAGAAUUCAUUUCUUCUUCCAUGGCCUUCUGCCAAUUUGCUUUGUCAACAUGAGAUUAAGCUUCUUGAAAGCUCUUUGGCUCCCCCUCACUAGUAAGAAGGAUGUACUUUCAAGUAGGAUAUCUUCUUGAUGGAGCACGGACUCAUUCAGAUCGUCGAAAUUGAGUUCCUUAAUUUGCAACUUCUGGCAGUGGAUCUGAAUUAUCCAGGGGUGGAAGCUUCCCUUGCUCAACACCUUCUUGAUCUGCAUCAUCGACUUCUUCAUCCACUUCUUCAGCGGAAACAUUUUCUAUAUUUUCAGAUAUUAUUUUUGAAACUCUGGAGUCUGGUUGCUCGUUAAUUGAUGCCUUGAAAUCAUAAUAUUGGUUUUCAUAAAAAACCACAUCUCUGCUUCGAAUAACCUUCUUUAGUUAUUGGUCCCAUAGUUUGUACCUGAACUCUUCAUCUCCAUAUCCAAUAAAGAUGCAUGGAGUGGAUUUGAGGUCCAACUUCUUCGGUAAUUCACUUGAUACAUGUGCAAACGCCUUGCACCCAAAUACUCUCAAGUGAGAGUAUGAUAUGUCUUUACCCGUCCAUAUCUUCUCGGGAACUUCAAAUUUAAUGGAGCGGAAGGUGACCUAUUUAUUAGAUAGCAAGAUGUCCAUACAGCUUCACCCCAAAAUGGCUUUGGGAGUUUAGUCAUGCUGAGCAUGCAUCGAACUUUCUCAACAAUAAUGCGAUUCAUCCGUUCUGCUACACCAUUGUGUUGUGGGGUUCGUGGGACAGUCUUUUCAUGUAUGAUACCAUGUUUCGUGCAGUAUUUAGAGAACUCAUGGGAAUAGUACUUUCCUCCAUUAUCUGAUCGGAGACAUUUUAAUUUCUUGCCUGUUUGUCUUUCCACCAUUUCAUGAAAAGCUUUGAAGCGGUCCAAUACUUGGUCCUUCUUCCUCAAACAAUAUGCCCAUACCUUUCGUGAUGCAUCGUCAAUGAAUGUCACAAAAUAUCGGCUUCCACCAAGAGAUUUUACUUCUAUAGGUCCACAUACGUCGGAGUGGACAAGGCUCAGCAACUCAGAGCGGUUCUUUCUUGUGGAGCUAAAGAAAACUCUGUUGUUUCCCAAAUAGGCAGUAUUCACAAGGAUCUAGGGCAACAUAUUUUGCCAUUGAAAUGGACUCCUUCUUUGCAAGAGUCGUCAAUCCCUUCUCGCUCAUAUGGCCUAGUCUUCUAUGCCACAAUUUUGGUGAUAUCUCUUCUUCAACAGCAUUGAGACUUGGUUGAAGUAGCUUUGCAUGGCUUUUAUAAAGAGUACCAUCAAGUUGUCCCCUUGCAACAACCAUAGCACCUUUUAACAACUUCCAGGUGCCAUUUUUGAAUUGAUUAUCAUAUCCUUGGACAUGAAAAGCUCUAACUGAGAUAAGAUUCAUUCUUAGCUUUGGGAUAUGUCGAACAUCUUUCAGCACCAAUGUACAUACAACAUUGGUCUUUAAAUGCACAUCACCAAUACCAGCAAUGCUUGAAAAACUGGUGUUUCCCAUCUUCACGGUACCAUGGUCUCCGGGUUUAUAAGUAGUGAAUAAAUCCCGGUUUGGAGUCGAAUGAUAUGAUGCGGUGCUAUCAAUCACCCACUCAUCAUCAUGAGUUCCAACAUGUAGGCAAGCUUCUUCCUCGUAUGUAACAAGGGCAACGUCUUGUGUUAUGGUUGAUGGGUUUUGGCCAUAUGAAUAUUUCUAUGUGCACAUGCAAACCCUAAUGCUUGGAUCUAUGGCUUCUAAUCAAACAUGCUUGUAUCCAAGACUUCUAAUGGCUAAUUAGGUAUAAAACAAAACAGAAUCAGAUCUAGAAACAUACCUUUGAUUCUCUUGUUUGUUCUUGUUGUCUUGGAGCUCUAGAGUCACAAUUGUCACUACUUUAAUGGCUUACAAACACCAACUAGCAAGAGGAUGAUUUGGGAGAGAGGAAAGAGCUAUAAAUCGGCCAGAGUAUCUUUACCUAGGAUGAGUGCUGAUUUCUCAAGCCUAGAGGGUCUAUUUAUACUUGCAAGGCUCGUAGGGUUUCACCUUUAAACACUAACUAGAUAACUUAAACUCUAAGUUAAUCCAUAUCCUUUCCGUAGAUAACCCUUUGGACGAUUUUGGCUGAUCAUAGCCCUAGAAAUCGUCCAAUCCUUUAUCUAUAAGGAUUUACAGCCUAAAGUCCAACUAUCAAACAAUUGACAGUUUAUACCCCUUUAUUUAAUUAAUCUCUUUAAGUCACCAAAUUAAUUCUAAUUAAUUCUAUGACUUAUAUUAAUCAAAUAACAAAUAUAUUAUUCAUUAUAUUAUUCCCAUAAUAUAUUAAUAAUAUUUACUCUCUCUUAAUAAAUCAUCCUAUCAAGUUGCUAUGGUGAAGGCAACCCAAAAGGACCAUGCACAACCGGAUCAAAUACUUGCCUAAUAUAGUUACAGCCUUAGACACUAUUCCAACAGUCUCCCACUUGGAUAAGUCUAGUAACUAUACAAGUACAAUUCGGUUUGCAAUCGUAGCUCUCAAAGACGCUGUCAACUCUGAUCUAAUCAAUCUUGUCCUUUAGAUAAGGGAACGUACAGUCCUCUGUUAGAUAUCAUGCUGACAAUCCUAUGGAAUGGUUAGUCAAGCAUUUAGGUUUCUCGAUCUCUGAUUUAUUUGACAUAGAACUUAAUCGAACACAUCAAUUCAGUUCUGACCGGGCCCGGCACAUAAGUCAAAUCAAAUCAUCGAGCGGCCGAGAUAUCGCUUUUACCUUCUUAGAUAAAAGUUACAGAUAAACUUCGACUUAUAUGCAUUUACUUAUUCAAUAAUCAACUAUACACAAUAAUGUGUUUUAUAACAUUGAGUUACCAAUGCGUUUUCGCAUUAUCAAUGUAUAAUCAAUUAGCAAAUAAUAAACCAUAUAUCUAGGUUUUAAGAUUAUAUGAUAUUAUCGUCUCGCGAUCACCUUUUAAAUCAUAUUCCAUACGGUGAUUCCAGCAAGCGCGGGUUUGUUCCAAUGCUCAAAACCAGUUCAUAAUCACUCAUGAACAUCGUAGCAAUCUUUUUCUAUGUCUAAUACCAUUUAGACAGUCUACGCACCAAUUCACGACAAUCUUCAUUCAUAUCUACUUCCAACAUAUGAACGAUUGUGGACAAUUUGAAUAAUUCGAUUAUUCCUAAUAAACUCAAUUAUUCUGGAAGUCAAAACAUGCAAAGUGAAACAAUAGCUAAACAAUUAACAUAAGAUAGUAACAUUACUCAUAAAUAAAACUCCUUUAUUUAAUCAUCAAAUGUCAAUUACAUUUAUCUAUUACACGUUUCUAAUACUAUCUAAUCUAUGCUAAUAUCAUCCUUCAGCCCAAUACUCCUAGCAUGCUGCAAGUGCUUAACCCUACUCAGUCCCUUCGUAAGCGGAUCUGCUGGGUUAUCUUCUGAUGAUAUCCUUUUCACUACGAGUUGUCCUUCUUCCACACGAUGUCUGAUGAAGUGGUAUUUUCUGUCGAUAUGUCGAGAUCUACCAUGAUCCCUCGGGGCCUUGGUCAAGGCAACCGCUCCUUCAUUAUCACAUAAAAUCUCUAUGGGAUCCUUUAUGGUGGGUACAAGUCCAAGAUCUCCGAUGAAGUUCUUCAGCCAUAUUGCCUCCUUCGACGCUUCGCUCGCUGCAAUGUACUCUGAUUCGCACGUUGAAUCAGCUACGGUUUCCUGCUUGGAACUCUUCCAUGUCACUGCUCCUCCAUUUAGGGUAAAGACCCAGCCCGACUGCGAACGGUAGUUGUCCCUGUCGGUCUGAAAACUGGCGUCACUAUACCCUCGCACCUUCAAGUCAUCACUCCCUCCGAGGACUAAGAACCAUUCCUUUGUCCUCCGAAGGUACUUAAGGAUAUUCUUCACCGCAAUCCAAUGUGCUUUGCCAGGAUUCCCUUGAUAUCUGCUAACCAUGCUCAAAGCGAAGGCUACAUCAGGGCGAGUACAAGUCAUAGCGUACAUGAUUGAGCCAACUGCGGAAGCGUAUGGUACUCGGCUCAUUUCUGCUAUCUCAGCUUCGGUACUCGGACUUUGAGUCUUACUCAAUUUGGCAUUACUUUGUAUCGGUAGUUCUCCCUUCUUUGAGUUUUCCAUACUAAAACGUUUUAGUACCUUCUCUAAGUAAGUAUUCUGACUAAGUCCAAUUAGUCUCUUACUUCUUUCUCUUACUAUCCUUAUUCCCAAAAUGUAAGAAGCUUCUCCGAGGUCCUUCAUAGCGAAGCACUUCCCGAGCCAGGACUUAACCUUUUGCAAAUUCGGGAUGUCGUUUCCUAUGAGUAAUAUUUCAUCAACAUAUAAAACGAGAAAGCUUACUAUACUCCCACUGGCUUUGACAUAUACACAAGAUUCGUCUUCGCUUCGUACAAAUCCAAACUCUUUGACUUUCUCAUCGAAGCAAAGAUUCCAUCUGCGAGACGCUUGCUUAAGUCCAUAAAUGGACUUCUCAAGCUUACACACUCUAUUCGGAUGCUUCGGAUCCACAAACCCCUCUGGCUGAGCCAUGUAAACAUCCUCAGCCAACUUCCCGUUAAGGAAAGCGGUCUUGACAUCCAUUUGCCAAAUCUCAUAAUCAUGAAAUGCGGCAAUUGCUAACAUCACUCUAAUAGAUUUAAUCUUCGCAACUGGUGAGAAGGUCUCAUCAUAGUCAACUCCGGGAGUUUGAGUAAAGCCCUUCGCAACCAAUCGCGCUUUAUAUGUGUGUACGUUUCCAUCCACGUCGGUCUUCUUCUUGAAGAUCCAUUUGCACCCAACGGUCUUACGUCCGGGCACAUAAUCAACCAAAUUCCAAACUUGGUUAUCAUACAUGGAUUGGAUCUCGCUAUCCAUCGCCUCUUUCCAUUUCGCAGACUCCGGGCCUGCCAUUGCUUCCUUAUAGCUAUUAGGUUCAUCAAGAUUUACUAGUGUACCAUCACUAAUAUAUGUGUCCCCUUCAGUAGUAAUAUGAAAACCAUAAAACUGGGGUUGAACUCUAGCUCUAUCGGAACGUAUAGGAGGUAAGGACUCGUCAAUUGGUUCAACCGGAGUUUCCUCGGGUUGAGUGCCAGCAGUAGAGGUUCCUUCAUCUAUCGAAUCUUGAAUUUCUUCGAGCUCGAUUUUCCUCCCACUGUCCUCUUGGCCUAUGAGUUCUCGCUCUCGGAAAACUCCUCUCCUCGCAACAAAGACUACAUUAUCCUUCGGUCUAUAGAAGAGAUAUCCAAAGGAUUUCUGNNNNNNNNNNNNNNNNNNNNNNNNNNNNNNNNNNNNNNNNNNNNNNNNNNNNNNNNNNNNNNNNNNNNNNNNNNNNNNNNNNNNNNNNNNNNNNNNNNNNNNNNNNNNNNNNNNNNNNNNNNNNNNNNNNNNNNNNNNNNNNNNNNNNNNNNNNNNNNNNNNNNNNNNNNNNNNNNNNNNNNNNNNNNNNNNNNNNNNNNNNNNNNNNNNNNNNNNNNNNNNNNNNNNNNNNNNNNNNNNNNNNNNNNNNNNNNNNNNNNNNNNNNNNNNNNNNNNNNNNNNNNNNNNNNNNNNNNNNNNNNNNNNNNNNNNNNNNNNNNNNNNNNNNNNNNNNNNNNNNNNNNNNNNNNNNNNNNNNNNNNNNNNNNNNNNNNNNNNNNNNNNNNNNNNNNNNNNNNNNNNNNNNNNNNNNNNNNNNNNNNNNNNNNNNNNNNNNNNNNNNNNNNNNNNNNNNNNNNNNNNNNNNNNNNNNNNNNNNNNNNNNNNNNNNNNNNNNNNNNNNNNNNNNNNNNNNNNNNNNNNNNNNNNNNNNGUGAAGGGUGACUUAGUCAUCUUUCCAAGCAAACAAGACUCGCAUGUGUCAUCUUCCCUAAGGUCGAAUGACUCCAACACUCCAUCCUUUUGGAGUUGGGCUAUGCGUUUCUUGUUGACAUGUCCAAGACGACAAUGCCACAAGGAUGCUUUAUCCAUACUAGUGGAAGAAUCAAUAUUCAAAACAUCAUUUCCUAAGUUAUCAACAAUCAUAACGGUUUCAUAUAUUCCAUUACAUGGUAUAGCUUCAAAGUAAAAGACACCAUUUAGAUAAGCCAAAAUAGAACCAUUCUCAUUAUUAAAAGAAAAUCUAAAACCUUGUCUAAACAAACCAUGAAAUGAAAUGAUGUUUCUAGCCAUUUCUGGCGAAUAGCAACAAUUGUCUAAAUCUAAACAUAAACUAUUCCUAAACACUAAAGAAUAUACUCCAAUCUUGGUCACAGGCGACGAUCAUCUGUUCCCCAUGAUUAGAUUUAUCCUUCUUUGCUCCACAUCGCUACUUCUUUUUAGUCCCUGCACAUUAGAACAAAUGUGGUAACCACAACCGGUAUCAAGAACCCAAGAAAUAGCAUGAUUAGAAUCGUUAGAUUUGAUUGUAUAUAUACCUGCGAAAGAUGGCUUGAUCUUUCCUUCUUUGAUUGCUUGCAGGUAAUCUGGGCAGCUUCUCUUCCAAUGUCCUAUCUUGUGGCAGUGGUGACAUUCAGCCUCCUUAGGGUUAGGGCAGGGCUUAGCGGGAUCAACUUUGGUCCCACUAGAAGAGGCACCAUCUCGGGCUUUCACCUUGUGUUGGUUCUUGGAUGAAGCCUUCCUCUUCUUUCCUUUCCCUUGACCAAUUGCCAAGACAAGAGCAGCGGGUGGAAUGGGAGUUGGUGCAACAGACUUGUCUUUGAAGUUGCUCUCAGCGACCCUCAAGAGACCUUGGAGUUUGCUUAGUGUGACCUCCUCUUUGUUCAUGUGGUAGGUCAUCCUAAAUUUAUUGUACAUCGGAGGCAAAGAGUGAAGCACCAUGUCGAUCGCCAAGUCUUCCCCAAAGUCAACAUUUAACUUGCGAAGGCGGUCGACAUACCUUUGCAUCUUUUGCAAGUGCACGGUAAGAGAUUCUCCAUGACCCAUCUUCGCGGAAAUCAUGUUAGUGAAAAUCUCGUACCUCUCUUGUCUCGCGUUUUGGUGGUACCUCUCCAAUAAGUCUUGAUGCAUCUCGUACGGGUAUAUGUCCUCAUAGGACUUUUGGAAUUCGGAGUUCAUUGUGGCUAUCAUGAUGCAAUGAACCUUCGUUGCAUCAUGCUCAUGAGUUUCAAAAGCGUUCAUUUCAGCCGGAGUAGCAAUUUUAGCAUUGACCCUUUCAAGCUUCUCAUCGAGGACAUAAUCCUUGUCUGCGUAGCGAGCAAUUGUGCGAAUGUAUCUUAUCCAUUCGCUAAAGUUCGUUCCAUCGAAAGUGACCGUUUGGCAAAGGCUCAUCAAUGUGAAAGAACUAUCGGCAACGUUGUUGGUCUUCGACAUCUACAAUUAGAAAGGACAAAGAUAGAUUAGAAUAUGAAUCCCUAAAUUUCACCCAAUAAGAAAAUUAGGGCUAGGAUCCAACAACAAUAUUUACAUCUUAGAAAAGGGAUGCCGUAAUCUAANNNNNNNNNNNNNNNNNNNNNNNNNNNNNNNNNNNNNNNNNNNUAAACUAUUAGUCCUAAGUGUUUUUGAGAAUUCCUAGGUUCGGAUGAGAUUCAUUGAAACUAUUCAAUGGCAUGUUUAAAUCUCGAUAUGCCCCUCUUGUUUGUGACUGGGAUGCCGAGGAUCACAAAGCGGGUGUGAAUUACCAUGCAAAUUCACAUGGCGCCUUCAUUGUAACAAUCACCUAUUCGACGUGCCGGUAAACCACACACGCUCCAUCGAACUAUGAUAAACAACGAAUCACCCUUCGCCACCUUCGCUUAGAACCAAUUAGUGUGCCGGUAAACCACACAUGCUCCACUAACUUCUUAGCAAGGUGCAAAGUGUAACUAAGAUUGGGAAAUU
rnacentral:lncRNA from 1 species